AAUUGUCUUCCAAAUGGGUUCUUUUAUUGUAUGAUGCUGACUGCCUGGCUAAUCUAGGAAAUUUAUUUUAGCUAUCAGGAAAUUUAUUUCUCUUGUGGUUUUCCAAAAUAACUCUUACAUUGCUUAUUGUUUAUGCUGUCAAGCUAACUUUUUAGUGUGAUUUUGGUAUUUUAUUUCUCUGCAUCUCUUUAAGGAGAAAUUCCUUAUAUCCCCUACUCUCUAAUUUUUUUUUUGGUAAAAGUUCAUUUAGUUCCCGUAUUUUAAGAUUAAUGUCCAUUUAGUCCUUAUAUUUUUAAAGUAUUGAUACCCCUAUUGUUACUUUUUUUUUUUACAAUAUUACCCUUUUAUAAUAAUUUUUUUAUUUGGACAUUAAUAAAAAAUAAUAAUUAAAUUACUAAUUUAACCUUAAAAAUAAAAAAAAAUUAUAUUAAUUUUUUUGCAAGCACCAUUUGCACACUUAGUGAUUUGCAUACAAUUUUUGACAAUUAAAAAUUAAUAUAAUUUUUCUGGUUAAAUUGGUAAUUUAAUUAUUUUUUUAUUAAUAUAUAAAUAAAAAAUUAUUAUAAAAGGGUAAUAUUGUAAAAAUAAGCCAAAAGAAAUAAAAAGUAACGGUAUGGCUAUUAAUACUUUAAUAGUAGAGAUGUUUUGAGAUAUUUUAAAAAAUAUAAGAACUAAAUAAAUACUAAUUUUAAAAUAUAGAGAUUAAAUGGGUUUUUACCUUUCUUUUUUUCUAAGAUUUUGAUUUUUUUUUUUUUUUAAUGUAGUUGAAACGAAGAAAGUAUUAAGUAGGGAUGGUUUAGAUUAAUUCGGGUCAGAUAUGAACCCAAACCGCUUUAAAACUGAAUCUGUUUCAAAAGCAGUCCAAGUCUCAAAUGUAUUUUGCAGUUGGGUUCAAGAAUCCGAAACCCAAAUUUUUUUUAUUUUAAAAGUAAAAUUUAUUUUACUUUCACACGAUUAAAAAAUAUUUAAUUUAAUAAAAUAAUAAAAAAAAUUACUCGACGCACUUUCCGAAUAAGUUUAAUCAAAUAAAAAAAAAAGGCAUCACAAAACUAAAAGUCUAAAACCCAGACCGAAACCCACCACUCUCAAAACGCUAGACAUCGCCACCUCCAAGUCUCCAACGGUCAACGGAGCUUCCCCUUUCCGGCCGUCGCGUCCAACACCAAAAGUCCAAGAUUGCGCCGUUAACAUCGCUUUUCUCUCUAGCCUAAAGACCAAGCAUUACCGCAAGCCGCUAACCCUUUCUCGCCGGCGCUCUCAUUUCUCACCGGACUCAACCACCCGUCGCCGCCUUCGCUGCCAUUUGAUCAGUCAAGGUAAUUUUAGAAAUUAGCGCCUUUACUUGCGACGAGGCCGUAUUCUUUGAAACUUGGUUGAAUAUUACUAAGUGGUAUUAUUGUACAAGUUUGUUCAGUGAUAUUGGAUUUAUUAUUACGGAUAUGCUUGAUGGAUGAUCAUCAAUUCGUUUUGUGUUGAAAUAAUCUUGUUAUUAAUUACGGGUAUGCUUGAUAGCUGAAUUCGUUCGUUUGAAAUGUUGUUUGCGCUAUUAAUUUGCUCAUUUGUAAUUUUUUUUCCAAGCUAUGUGUAUGCAAAAUAAUUAAUUUUUUUGAAGGAGCCGGAUAUUCAAAAUUAUUAAUUUUUAAAAAAAUAAAUAGAUGGGAUUAUCGGGGAUAUCCCCAGUUAAAGUUUUUCGGUUAUGGUACGGAGAUUGCUUCCAGUUCAGGUUUGGGGUUCAUGAUCUCCACUGCGAGCCCACCCAUUGCCAUCCCCAGCAAUAAGUGAGCUACUAGUAAUUAUGGCUAUGUUUUGGACUUCAGUACCUUUGAAGAGCUAGCUAGCUGUCUUUGUAGUUGUUGUUUGAUAUUAUCUGUUGGGGAGGAAGGUUAUGUUCUGUUCUGGUAUCAUUGCUUCUACAUUAACACUUUUCCCAUGUUUGAAUUUCAAUUCAUGCCAAAUUUUCAUCAAACAAAGAGAUCUUUUUCAUUGUUAAUAUGCAAGGGGCAAGUAGUCAUCAUUCUAUUUUGGUAAAAUUAUAUUAGAAAUUAUAAUCAGUCAAAUUGGUUGUAUUUGAGCCGUUUUGUAAUUUCAGUUUAGUUAGGAUUUAAUUUAUUUUCUUAAUUUUUUAGGAUUAUAAUUAAGUAAAUUUUAAGUUACCUUAUCUUCAAAAAAAAAAAAAAGUUACCCUAAUAAAUAAUAGUCCAUUUUUUUCCCUAGGAUUGGUAGCAGAGCCUUGUGCCUUGCCCUUGCCAACAAAAACGGUACCGUCCAAGUAGCGUCUACAGCCUCCGGCUUCAGUUUAAUUACCAAAAAGGAAAAAAAAAUGAACAAUUUAACAAAGAUGGACAGCGUCUUUGUUGACAAAGAUGGUAUGUAUGUUCAAACCUUUCAUGUUCUUUUGGUCAACAUUCUUAAAAUAUUCAGUUUAUUUUAUUUAUAAUCAGUGGGUGUUAAUUAAAAUUACUUGAAUGUAUAGCCAUUGCAAGAUCCACUUCACAUGUACCACCGGCUCAUUACAUUGUCAAAAUAAAAUCAUUUUCAGUACUUGCGGAGAAAGCAGUUGAUGAGAAAUACGAAUCAGGAGCAUUUGAAGCUGGAGGCUACAAGUGGUAUAUAUAUACAUAUAUAAAUUUUUUUUUUCCUUUAUUGCUGUAAAUUAAAUAAUGUACGCCAGUACCUUUUCUUUUGUUAUUAUCAUCAUCAUUAUUAUUAUUUCAUCUUGAUAUAUAAUCAAACAACUCCUCAACUUGUGGGUAAAAUCUCUUGUGCCGAAACAUGAGAUCUGGGGUUCAAACCUACUUUACAAAGCUGGGAGAGAAUUGGGUUGCCAUUAAGCUAUAAUAAUAAUAAGAAAAAUGCUACAACUCAAUCCUCAUCCCUAAUGUGAUCAGGAUUCAAACCUAACUCUUGAACCAUAGUCUUUGCUCGGUAAUAUCAUAAAUUCGUGUAUUUAUGUUGAUCAAUUAAUUAUUGCAGGAAACUUGUUCUAUAUCCAAAUGGAAAUAAGAGCAAGAAUGUGCAAGACCACAUUUCACUCUACUUAGCAGUGGCAGACACAAGUUCGGUUACUCUUGGUUGGGAAGUCUAUGCAGUUUUUCGUUUAUUUUUACUUGAUCAGGACCAAGACAACUACUUGGUGGUUCAAGGUUAUAUUAUAUUCUACUUUUGAAAUGCUAACCUUGAUCAUAUUUUCCAAUGAUCUAUGUUUGACAAUUUUGACGAUAUCGAAUGUUUAUAAAUUUUAUCUAGUGUGAUCGUCAGUAUUUCACAAAUUAAAUACAGUCUAGCUGGUACAUAUAAAGUUUUACAGAAAAUAUUGCAGCAGAAGCUCGUUCUAGUCUUUUAGAUAAGCAAUUGCAUAAUCGGUGGUUGCUUGUAAUGUGAUAGAUGCCAUGGGAAAGGAAAGAAGGUUUAAUGGAUUGAAGCUUCAAUGGGGUUUUGAUCAGUUCAUCCCGCUUAAAGCUUUCAACGAUGCUUCAAAUGGAUACCUUGUCGAGGAUACAUGUAUUUUUGGAGCUGAAGUCUUUGUUAAAGAAAGAAACAUAGUCAAAGGAGAGUGCCUAUCCAUGGAAAAAUAUGCAUAUAGUUCUAAGUAUGUUUGGAAGGUUGAAAACUUUUCAAAGUUGGGCGAAGGACGUCAGGAAUCACAAGUGUUCAGUGCUGGAAAUCACAAAUGGUAUCAAAGAUUCAAAUUUUUUUUUAAAAUCAGACUAUAGAUGUAAAUAUGUUCUUGGGACAAAGUUUUUAGUGAAUGAACAAUUAAAUUCCAUAAAAUUCUUUUCAGGAUGAUACGGCUCUAUCCCAUGGGAAAUGGCUUUGGUGAUGGCGAUCAUCUUUCUUUGUUCUUGGCUUUGGCAGAUUCCGCAGUUGAGGCUGUUAAAGUAUAUGCAGACUAUUCAUUGCGAAUUUUAGAUCAAGUGGGGGAAAAACAUAAAUCUUUUCAAGGUAAGAUGUCUGUCUUUACAUGCAAUUAGUAAGUCAGCUUAAUUAAUUGAAGGCAAAUCCAAAUAAUACUACGAGAGUGCUCCUUUUACUCUAACAGGUAAAGCCUGGUUCCUUGCACCAACCUUUGCCUUGGGCUCUCAAAGAUUCCUUUCGAUGAGUAAGUUAAAUGAGCCAGAGACUGGGUUUCUAGUGAAUGACGUAUGCCUGGUGGAAGCUGAGGUCACUGUGCUUGGAAUUUCCGAGCCAUUAUAACAAGUAAUUAAUUGUCCUCCAAUUCGGUUCUUCUACUGUGUGAUGCUGACUGCCUGGCUAAAGUAGGAUAUUAAUUUAUCUUGUGAUUUUCCAAAAUAUAGCUUUGUUCUUAUGAAAUAUAUAUAUAGCUUUGUUGUUUGUUGUUGCUGCUGUCAACUUAUUAGUGUAAUUUUUGUGCUCUAGUUUUAUGCAUCUAUUAAGGGGUAAGGUUUAUUAUGUCCUCUAGGAUCUAAUUCUUCUUUCUUCUAAGAUUUUGAUUUCCAACAAAAAAAUAAAUAAAUAAAUAAAGAGAGAGAAGUAAUUGGUACAAAGAAAUUUGGGAUGUAAGAGAACUAAUAAUUCCGCUUACUAAAAGAAUGAAAACCAAGUAUAUAAUCAUUAGUCCAAGCAACUGAAGGCUGUUAAACCAACGAGUGUGAAGGAAAUAAUAAACAAAUAAGGAGGAUUACGACCCAGGAACAUAGCUAAGCUGCCAAUCCAUAAAUAAGCAAUUCGUGUAGCCACUUUGGGAGCUUUAGCCAAGUUUGAAUCAAUAUGCUAAUGAGCAAAUUCAAAAUGAUCAGAUCAUCAAAGUUAGCAAAAUUAUAAAUCCAAGCAAGCUGCUGAGAUUACUUGUUUCUACCAGAAAAUUGGGAUCCUGGUUGUACUUUGAUCGAAUAGAGUGAAUUUAAUUAACAAAUAAUCUGAUCACAUGGAAUAUUAUUAUUAUUUUUUUAAUUUAUCUACCAAGCUUUAUUUAUUAUUAAUUUUUUUUUCCUUUGCUGGAUUACAAUGAAUAACAAAUUGGUGACCGGGUUUCAAAAUUUUGGUGAAUCUCAAUGGUCACACUAAUUCAUACCAUUCAGAUUUUCUUAUUACUGAACUAUCGUCUAAUAUCUUAUGGAAUUCACAGUGGUUGCGAUACAACAGUUCAGAUUCAAGUAUUUUACCCUUAAAAAAUAAUUAGAUAAAUUCUUCAAUUUAAUUUUGACAUACUACAGUUUAGAUUUGCAUUUUAUUAAUAAAUUUUAUGACUUUAGGUGUAUGGACUACGGGUCCAAAAUGCAUAAAAAUUUACUAAUUAAUUUUACGUCCUUUCGUGGAUGGACUAUAAAUCCAAAUAUUCUACAAUUUUGGCCAAUCAUAUAAUUUAAUGAUCUAUACAUUUUGUAAUUUAGAAUUCUAAAAUUUUUUUUAUCAUAACAACUAUAUUUUAUUGACAAAUAUCUAAUGUUAAUUUCAAUUUUUUCCCUUGCACCAAGUACCAACAUUUAUUAAAUAUUUCUCAUUUUCAAUAUAUAUGCACAAUUGAGAUCUUUCGAAAUUUCUAAUACAUAUAUCUCUGCAAGGACUAAAGAUCUCUCUUUUUUAAUAUACAUGAGCAUCUUUUAUAGGACAAUUUCAAUCUCUUUGUUUCUUAGUAUCUACCUCUUUAAGAGUAUUUGAGAUUCAUUUAUUAGUUGGUAUGCCUUUCCAGGGCAAUAUAUCCAAUAAUUUAAUUAUAGAUCAAAUGUAUUUCUAUAUACGAACAUAGUCUCUUCAGGAGCGCCUAAUUAUUUUAAAAGAUUUUGUCAUUUUCCUGAGAUUUAAAUUAUUUUUUACUAUUUGAUCUAUUACAUGCAAGCUUCAGGCAUUUGUGUAUUUAUUUUGUAUCACCAUUUCAUCCUUCAAGGACAUCAACCCAUAUUAGUGGUAAUUUUUUUUAAUUCUCUAUGUCAAUGAGUUUAUCAAUUAAUUGAUCAACAAUGCCCGUUGUACAAUAAUCUUGUUGAACUUUAAAUUCUAAUAAAUUAACUCAUAUAAAAAUCAAAUGGGGUAGAGGUGAUAUAUGACAUUUAUAUUGUCCAUCAAAUAUAUAUAUCACUUUUUUAGGAGCAGUUUCACAAAAAUUAUUAAACUUGAACAGCAAAGUUACUAAGCCAAAUUAGUGAAAAUUUUGGAUUUGAAUUUCCGGUCCAUCAUCAAUAUUGAUUCAACUUCAUACUAAUUAUGUUUGUAUAAUAUUCACUUAUUGAUUUCUUAUGAUAAGGUCUAUGACUGUUAUAAUUUUGAAAAAUUAUUUAAUAAUGGGUACAUCCAUUACUACUUCCACAAAAACAGGAUUCCAUUUAGGAAAUAAAUUAACUAUGAAUUUCUUUUUAAUAAAAAAAAUCAUAUUUUGGGUUUUAGUAAAAUAAAACAUAACAUCAAUCUAUAUUGAUAGGGUUGGCAAUGGGACGGGAUGGGAUGUGAUUUACCAAUCCCAGUCCCAUCCUGUAUAUGCAAAUGGGAUGAAAAAAUAUCCCAGUCCCAUCCCUAUAUUUUUUUUGGGACAAAAAUAUAUCUCAAUCCCGUCCCAAAAGAGAUGAGAUCCUGCGGGAUCCCAUCCCAAUUGAAAAAUUUUUCAUUCUUAAUCGGUAAUGAGACGGGAUGGGACGGAAUUUGUCAAUCCCACUUCCGUCCCGUAUAUGUAAUUGGGAUAAAAAAAAUAUCCCACUCCCGUCCUUAAUUUUUUUAUGGGACAAAAAUAUGUCCCAAUCCCGUCCCAAAUGGGAUGGGAUCCCGCAGGAUCCCAUCCCAUCGGGAAAAAUUGCCAUCCGUAUAUAUUGACACUCUUGAUUUCCUAUUGCAGGAGAUAUUCGUUGGUUUUCAGGAAGAUAGUGCUCUAUCUCAUGGGAAAUGGCUGUGGUGAUGGCAAUCAUCUUUCUCUGGUCUUGGCUUUGGUAGAUUGCACAGUUGAGGCUGUUAAAGUAUAUGUAUUCAUUGCGAAUCUUAGAUCAAGUGGGGGAAAAACAUAAAUCUUUUCGAGGUAAGAUGUCUGUCUUUACAUGUAAUUAGUAAGUCAGCUUAGUUAAUUGAAGCCAAAUCCAACUAAUACUACGAGAGUGCUUGCACCAGCCUUUGCCUUGGGCUCUCAAAUAUUCCUUUCGUUGAGUAAGUUAACUGAGCCAGAGACUGGGUUUCUAGCGAAUUACGAUUGCGUGGUGGAGGCUGAGGUCACCGUGCUUGGAAUUUCCGAGUCAUUAUAACAAGCAGUUAAUUGUCCUCCAAUUGGGUUCUUUGAUUGUGAGAUGCUGACUGCCUUCCUGCCUAAUCUAGGAAAUUUAUUUUAGCUGUCAGAAAAUUUAUUUCUCUUGUGGUUUUCAAAAGUACAGCUAUGUUGUUUAUUGUUUAUGCUGUCCAGUUAACUUUUUAGUGUGAUUUUGGUGCUCUAGUUUUAUGCAUCUCUUAAGGGGUGAGGUUUAUUAUAUCCUCUAGGCUAUAAUUCUUCUUUCUUCUAAGAUUUUGAUUUCCCAAAAAAAAAAAAAAAAAGAAGUGAUUGGUACAAAGAAAAUUAGGACGUAAGAGAACUAAUAAUUCCAUUACUAAGAGAAUGAAAACCAAGUACAAUAAAAUCUCAAUUAAAUUAAUAUUGAUGAUGUUGAUUAAAUAAUAAUUUUUGUUAGUUUCGACUAGGAGCCAAUAAGUUAAAUUAAUAAUUCGAUAUAUUAAUUGGAUAAUAUUUUUUCAAAAGAAAAUUAUUUUUCUAUAGGACCUAAUUAAUAAAUAAAUUGAUAAUUAAUUAAUUUGAAACUAAUUACAUAUGAUAUGUUUAUGAUUUUCUUUAUUAUACUGGCAUAAUGCUUUAUGCGUUUUUUCGAUCAUUACUACUUUCUUUACACCUUCCAUAUUGGGAGCCAUUGUUGUAUUAGGUGUUUUAUUAAGAGAAAUAAGAGAGAGAUUGAUUUAAUAUGUUGCCUCAAAAAAGUCUCCUUUGAUGAGUUACCAUCUAAUCUUGAUCUAGCCAUGCAAUCUAGCUAAAGGAUUAUCAAGUAAUUCACUCACUCAAGCAAGGUCCUAUCAUACAACGUGACAUAAUCAUUAAAUUAUCUAAUUAUACUACCUCAAAAUCACUAAAUUCUCUAAUUAUAAUAUCUUUAUAUUUCAUAGAAAAUCCUAAUAUGAAUGCAAUAUUAGUUUUAUAAAGAUAAAUUAAUAAAUUAAUUUAUUGAUAUACUAAUGUUCGAUAAAUUAAUAAAAUUUUUAUGGUCCCAAUACUAUUAAUGUACCGAGAUUAUACUAUAUAUCAUUAGCCAAAGUAUUUUCCAUUUUGUUAGUAAUAUAUUGAGUGAAGCAGUUGAAGACAAUUAAUCCACGCACUACUAGAAAGAUGGGCUAGCAUGACAGAGAAUAUUUGUCAUCCGACCCCCCUUAUGACAGAGUUUUUAUGUAUCAUUGUAGCCCCUGCGAUAAAUCCAUGACAUUAUUUUAUCUAUCACAUCUUCCAUGACAAUGUAUAUCUAUCACACAUAUGUCAUUAACCAUGCAACGUCGUUUUGCAAGACUUUUUGAAAUUAAUAGAAAAUUUUAGUGGGUAAUUUAAAUUGUUUUGAAUUUGGUGGGUUUCUUCAAAAUAUGUCAUAUAUUAAUGAUUUGUAUUCUUUGUCAUGAGAUUUAAGGUUUAAAGAAAAAUAAAAUUAUUAUUUUUAAUUUUGAAAUUAUAAUAAUACUAAUUAUUAUUAUUUAAAUUCCAGAAUUUUGAAAUAGAAAUAAUAAAAAUCACAUUUCAAAACUUGAAUUAACUGAAAUAAAAAUUACAUUCAAAUUCAUAAAAACUAUUAAAUACCAAAUAGCAUCAUAUACUAAAAAUUUCAAUCACUGGAAACUUCCAACAAAUAGCAUCAUCAAAAUACAUGGUGAAUCAAAUCCAUAAUAAUAUCUCAUAAAUCCUUUACAAUAUCUAAUCACCAACCCAUCCUAGAAAAACAGUUAAUCCAUAAAAAAAAAAAAAAAACAUUGAUGGUAAAUUCUCAAAAGCCACCAACAUCACCUGAAAAACAAAUUACAUUAAGAUGAGUACCAAAAAAAUGCAAAUUAACGUAUUGGCCACUUAUAGUUAAUCAAAUUCAUAAGGAGUCAUCACACACUUCAAUAAUCAAGAAUAAUGAAGAAUUUUACAUAUGUAACAAAAACCUAUAAUUACUAACAACAAUCAAUGUAUCAUUUUUGAACUCUUAAAUUCCUUGUCUAGAACCUUUUGACAGCCUUUUAACUGGAAUUUCUUGCCUUUCUACCUAUGUACCACAGAUAUGCUAAUUAGUUAGUAUAAAAAGAAAACAUGAUUUAAUAUGAGCAUAAUACCACAAUAUUACCUUGUACACUGGCCCAAAUCUACCUUCUCCCAGUUUAUUGUAACUUAAGAAGUUAUUUGUGGCGUUUGCUAUACUGGCAUAAACAAAUUCCCAGGCCAUAUCUUAUUUUGCUCCUUCAUUAUUAUAAUUUUUUAUAUGAUUCAUCUUUGUUAAUCCUAAAAUUGUAGGAGAAUUCCAUCAUGGAUAGUGAAUUUAUUUAGCUACUAAUUGGAAACAAUGAAUUUUAUUUGCAACUAAUCCAAAUGAAUGAUAUUAGCAAAACGCUUCGAAUAACGAGUUUAAAGUCUCCAGAGCUCACCAGAGCUAGUUGGGUGUGUAUUUUGAAGAUAUAAUAUCCACACAACCUCAACUUGUGUGGUAUGGUUACUUAUGAUCUUUUUCUAUCUUUAUUCCAUUAAUAUUAAUGCAAACUAUAUAUAUAUAUAUAUAUAUAAUCAUGCACAUUUGGAUUAAUAUUGUUUGUAACUGUAAGAACAACUAAUAAAAUUACAUAAUCAACCCAUAAAAAAAACCAACAGCAGUUAAAUUCAAUAAAAAAAAAACUAGCAGUUAAAAUAGCAACAAUGGUUAAAAAAAAACAACAUAAAUUAGAGAAAUGGAAAGUUUCUUCCAGGGCAGAAAUCAGAGAAAUCAACACAUUAGUGCCCAUCAUAGCAGAGGGCGUCCAAGACAAGUAUUUUCCAGUAAACUUAUCAUACUCAUCAAGCAACUAGUAAUUUCCACUUUAAAAAGUGAAGAAAUUAGAUAUCUAACUAAUCCAUAAAUUCAGGAUAUCAAAAAUCUUGACAAUUACAUAAAUUUUUUUCUACUACUUAUUUAGAUUCCAGUUCUUGUUCUGAGAUUACCAAAAGUAUUAACGCAGAUGAAACCAAGUUUCCAGUAUAGAGCCACUGUUUAGAACUUCACUUCUCAAUUAGUAAAGGCAACAGCCCAAUGCUAUGCUAGCCUUUCCGUCUGAGAAAGAGAUGAGGUUAUUCAGAUUUUGAAAUAAUGCUAGUGACAUGGGUAGUUUAAGCCAAAACAUAAUUUUAAAAUAAUCGAUAAUUAGUCCAGCAUGUUGUCCUUAAUCUCUUGAACAUGAUAUUCCUUCUCAUCUACUUUUUUCUUCCCAAUGAUAAAUGAACUUCAUCACAUGGCCAUGAUUAAUUCAAACAAACAAAAUUAAUUCAAAGAGAAGUGUAUUAACCGAAGAUAAAAUAAAUUAAUUCAAAGAAACAAAAUUAUCACAUGGCAAUAACUGAGAAUAAAAUGAAAACUAUUUGUGCGUACUUAUUUUUUGAAUGGGAACAGAGAUGAGACUUAGAAUCAAUUAAAUCCAACCCUAAGUUGAUUAAAAGAAUAAUUAAUUCAAGCAUAACCCUAAAAUUAUCUAAAUUAGAAUGAGAGAAGUAAGAAAAAUCAAAAUUAAAGAAAAAAACAUGUCGAUACAUAACUACUAAACUAAUAAGCCAAUACAAAACCCUAGAUCUAGCAAAUAAAUCAAAAUCAAUUGAAAGCUAAUGGUUCACCAAAAAAUAAACAACAUCAUAGAAUAGCAAUCAGAUCAAUCAAAAUAAACGGCGUAUAGAUCACAGAAAAAUCAAAUCAAAUCAAAUCAAAAGAAUAUAAUAUAAGAAAAAGAGGAAGUAAAGACCUAGCUGAACUUGUGCGUGUUGUUCAUCGGCAAGUAGUAGCAGCAGCAGGUCGAAGAGUAAGGAUGAAGACAUAUAAGAUUCAAGACGUUUGGAAACUAAGAAAAUAUUGAGAGAAAAUAAGAAGAUUCUGGAAAUUUGUUUUCUACUUCAUUCAUCAAAAAUUACAAAAGAAACUGUACACAACUAAUUUUGCUUAGCUAACUAAACAUGCUAAACAUGCUAAACAUGCUUAAUAGCUACUAUAACAAAACGAAAACUAAUAUUCACGUGUACAAGAAACUAUAUAACCACCAGGUGCCAGCUGGCAUGCCAAGUCAUCAACUUGUAACUGUGAAUUGCAACUGUUACAAUCCUAUGCUUUGCUGACCAUUUUGCUCAAAUGAGAUUCCUUAACAAAGACGAAGACGAAGAGUAGCAAUUUGUUGUCGGCAAAUAGCGCAGUAGAGGACCAAAUUUUUUGUCAGCAGCGUGAUUUUGUUUUUGUGUGUGAUUUAGAAAUUAGGGUUUGCCAUUUGAAGUCAAAGGAGAGUCUACCACUUAUGGUUUUUUUUUUUGUGGUUUCAAGAUACGUUGUAGUUCUAUGCCUAAAUUAAUCCAUUCAAAACUCACCGUUUCAUUAAAUAUUAAUAUGCUAUCAUGUGUAUGUGAUAGAUAAAUAAGCUAUUACAAAUCUAGCAUGUUUUUAUGAUACAUAAAAAUUCUAUCACGAAUCUAUCUUAUUUUUGUAAUAAAUAAUUAAUUUUUAAAUAUCUUACAAAAAUUCUGUCAUAAUAACUUUGUUUUUCUAGUAGUGACGAGUGUAAAGUGCCGCCACAGAGAGGAGUAAAACAAAUUCUGAAGUCAAUGGAAAAAAAUCAAAAAAUAAAAAAGUAAAAGAACCAAGGAUUGACGACCCACGUCACAUGGUUUUAGUACGGUGUGUAGUAUCACUUUUUAUAAAGGGUCUAGGGUCCGCCUAACUUACGUUCAACGUAAGUUACGCUCAGCCCGUCCAAUUUCAUAUAGUCCACCUAUACUCUAUACUAUUUAUAUUUUAUUCAUAAAUAUUAUAAAUUUUUUGAAAUGUAAAAUUUUGUUUAACCCCCUCUACUUAAUUUUAUUAGGGUCCGCCUAACUUACGUUCAACGUAAGUUACGCUCAGCCCGUCCAAUUUCAUAUAGUCCACCUAUACUCUAUACUAUUUAUAUUUUAUUCAUAAAUAUUAUAAAUUUUUUGAAAUGUAAAAUUUUGUUUAACCCCCUCUACUUAAUUUUAUUUUAUUAAAACCAUAGAGUAUGAAUUCGCCCCCAUAAUUUUAAAUUCUCAAAAUAACCUCCAUUUAAUUAAAAAUAUAAUUAUUUUUAAAUGAAUUAUAAUUAUAAUUAUAAUUUUAUUAUAAUCAUAAAUAUUUUUUAAUAGAUUAUUGUUAUUAUUAAUAACAAGAAUAAAAAGCAUUAUAAAUUGUUAAUAAUAAUAAUAAUAAUAAUAAUAAUAAUAAUUAAUGAUUAUCUAACUAAUAGUGAAUAUAUUGCUAAUGCUACCUUCGACUUUAAAUACUCAUUAUCGGGUUUCAAGAGACCAAUGAAUGAUAAUUUCUGUCAGAAUUUUAAGCUUGACCCAAUAAAAAUAAUUUUGUAUUUAAAAAAUAGAAGCAAGAAAAAUGUGUUUACAUCCUCGAAUGUGUAACAACUUAGCAAAAAGCACUUAAAAAUGACCGUUUAAUAAUGAGAUGCCUACAAAAUCAUUAUUUAUGAAGGUAACAAAAAAAUCCUAAAAGUACUUGAAAUUAAAAUGUAUAGAAAUAUAAAAGAGUCUCCUAUAUAAAUAUAGACUCAGUGUUUAUUCCAUUUUAUUAUAAUCAUAAAUAUGUUGAUUAUCAUUAAUUAUUAUUAUUAUUACUAACAAUUUAAUAAAAAUAUUAUUAAUUAUUGUUAAUAGAUUAAUUAAUUAUAAUAUUUUUUAUUAUCGUUAUUAAUAAUAACAAUAAUCUAUUAAAAAAUAUUUAUGAUUAUAAUAAAAUUAUAAUUAUAAUUAUAAUUCAUUUAAAAAUAAUUAUAUUUUUAAUUAAAUGGAGGUUAUUUUGAGAAUUUAAAAUUAUGGGGGCGAAUUUAUACUCUAUGGUUUUAAUAAAAUAAAAUUGAGUAGAGGGGGCUAAACAAAAUUUUAUUUUAAUAACAAUAAUCUAUUAAAAAAAUAUUUAUGAUUAUAAUAAAAUUAUAAUUAUAAUUAUAAUUCAUUUAAAAAUAAUUAUAUUUUUAAUUAAAUGGAGGUUAUUUUGAGAAUUUAAAAUUAUGGAGGCGAAUUCAUACUCUAUGGUUUUAAUAAAAUAAAAUUGAGUAGAGGGGGUUAAAUGAAAUUUUACAUUUCAAAAAAUUUAUAAUAUUUAUAAAUAAAAUAUAAAUAGUAUAGAGUAUAGGGGGACUAUAUAAAAUUGGACGGACUGAGCGUAACUUACGUUCAACGUAAGUUAGGCGGACCCUUUUAUAAAUUUCUGAGACUUUGUUUCGGGGUUGAGGUUAUAAGUUUUCGGGUCCCACGUCACAUGAUUUUAGUAUGCUUUGUCGUAUUUUCACAUUGCCCAAGCAGAAUUUAGUUUCCCUUUUGUCAGCCAAUUCGUUUCAGAACUAAUGAUGAUGAUCAAAUUCAUGCUACUAUUCAUUUGUCAAUGCAAUAAAUGAGCAACUGAUAAUCGUGGCUCUGUUUUGGACUUCAGUACCUUUUAAGAGUUAGCUAGCAGUCUUGUAAUUGUUUGACGUUUAUAUGCUAGGGAGGAAGGUUAUGUUCUUUUCUGGUAGUGGUAUCAUUGCUCCUACAUUGACACUUUCCACAUGCCAAAUUUUCAUCAAACAUAGAGGUCUUUUGAUUGUUAAUAUGCAAGGUGUACGCAAUUAAUCAUGGUUCUGUUUUGGUAAAAUUCAAUUAGAAAUUAUAAUCAGUCAAACUGGUCGUAUUUCAGUCGUUUUUGUAAUUUCAGUUUGGAUAGAAUUUAAUUUAUUUUAUUUCUAAUCAAUAAAAAUCAACAAUUCUUUGGAGAACUUGUUAACAAAGAUGGACAGUUUCUUUGAAGCCGGAGGCUACAAGUGAUACGUAUAUUUAUUUUCUUGACUGCCGUAUAUUAAAUAACUCAAGGCACCACCAUUCCUUUUCUUUAUUAUUUCUAUUAUUAUUAUUAUUAUUUCCCAUUUUGCGAUAUAAAUCAAGCAACUCCUCGACCCUAGUGUAAUCCGAAUUCGAACCCGAACCUCUUGAACCACUACUGUUACGGUAUUAGUGUAUGUAUAUUGAUUAAUUAGGAUUAAAUAAUAUUAUAUUUUUCAAUAUUCUUGUACAUUUUUAGCUUAAGAAUAUUCCUUCGAUCUAAACUUAGUUCAGCUUUCGGCUUUGAAGUACAUUUUAAAAGUUGCACACUGUUAUACGUGUGAUUGAUAUCUAUUUAUUUUGUUAUGUUUACUUUAAUUAUUAACAAUCAAGAAAUUUUCUCCCCACAAAAGAAUACGUGAAUUAAACUAUCGCUAUAUGAGCAUAGAAUAUUCUAACUGAUGUAACGGAUCGAGAUUAGUGCAAACAAAAGAAAAUUUAAAUUGAGUUUAUAUGUUUUCGAGUUUGUUGAAUCAGAAAGUAGAAUGUAAACAGUCCAAUCAUUAGGCCUUUUAUUAACUUUUUUUGUAUUUAUCCCCUAAUUUAGUAGUUAAUGAAGAUUCAUCGUAUAUUUACUUAAAUUAUCUUUAUUCAUUGUAUUUUCAUGUUCAGAUUCUAUUAUUUUCUUGAGAGAUCGAUAAAACUUAGUAUACGACCUCCCAGUAAUUUUAUUUUUCUUUUAUUUAAACUGACUUCGUGCUGUCGAAGUUGCCAAAAAUAAAAAUAAAUCUUCAACAACAUUUUAGAAAACUUUUCGCAAUGGAAAAUGUCUUUGUUAACAAAGAUGGUAUGUAUGUUGAAGCUUUUCUCACUUUAUUCUCUUGGUCAAUAUUCUUAAAAUUUUCAUCUUAUUUUUACUUCUAACCAGUCGGUGUUGAUUAAAAUUACUUUACUUUAUAGCCAUCGCAAGAUCCACUUCACAUGUACCACCGGCUCAUUACAUCGUCAAAAUAAAAUCAUUUUCAUUGCUUGCCCAAAAAGCAGUUCAUAAGAAGUACGAAUCAGGAGCAUUUGAAGCUGGAGGCUACAAGUGGUGCGUGCGUGCGUGCGUGUGCAUAUAUAUCUAUAUAUAUAUAGUUCCUUUAUUGCAGUAAAUUAAAUAACUUAUGCCACCACCUUUUCUUUUGUUAUUAUCGUUAUUAUUAUUAUUAUUAUUAUUCCAUCUUGAUAUUAAUAAUCAAACGACACCUCAACCUACGGGCUGAGUGUUAUUUAGUUAAAUUGGUAAAAUCUUUUGUGGGGAAACAUCAGAUCCCGGGUUCAAAAUCACUUUUCAAAGAUGACAAGAAAAUUGGGCUGCUGUUAGACUAAUGAUUAAAAGAAAAAAUACAACUCCCCAACCCUAAUGUGAUCAGGAUUUGAACCUAACUUUUGAAUGAUGGUCUUUGCUUGGUAGUAUCAUUUAUUAGUGUAUUUAUGUUGAUUAAUUAAUUAUUGCAGGAAACUUGUUAUAUACCCCAAGGGAAACAAGAGCAAGAAUGUGAAAGAUCACAUUUCCCUCUACCUAGAAAUGGCAGAUACAAGUUCACUUACUUUUGGUUGGGAAGUCUAUGCAGUUUUUCGUUUGUUUUUACUUGAUCAGAACCAAGAUAUCUUCUUGGUAGUUCAAGGUUAUAUUAUAUUCUACUUUCGAAAUGUUAAUCUUGAUCAUAUUUUCUAAUGAUCUACGUACAUUUUACAAUUUUGACGAUAUGAUAGGUUUAUAAACUUAUCUAGUGUGGUCGUCAGUAUUUUACAAAUUAAAUACAGAAAAUACUGCAGCAAAAAUUUGUUCUAGUCUUUUAGAUAAAGAAUUGCAUAAUCAGUGGUCGGUUGUAAUGUGAUAGAUGCCCUGGGAAAGGAAAGACGGUUUAAUGGGCUGAAGCUUCAGUGGGGUUUCGAUCAGUUCAUCCCACUUGAAGCUUUCAACGAUUCUACAAAUGGAUACCUUGUCAAGGAUACAUGUGUUUUUGGAGCUGAAAUCUUUGUUAAAGAAAGAAGCAUAGUCAAAGGAGAGUGCCUAUCCAUGGAAAAAUAUGCAUAUAGUUCUAAGUAUGUAUGGAAGAUCGACAACUUUUCAAAAUUAGGCGCAGGAUAUAAGGAAUCACAAGCGUUCAGUGCCGGAAAUCACAAAUGGUAUCUAAGCUUCAAUUUUUUCUUUUUCCAAAUCAGAAUAUAUAUGUAAGUACCUUCUUGAGGCAAGGUUUUUAGUGAAUCUACAACUAAAUUCCAUAUUAUUGUUUUCAGGAAGAUAAAGCUCUACCCCGCGGGAAUUGACAUUGGUGCUGCCGAUCAUCUUUCCAUGUUUUUGAUUUUGGAAAAUUUCACAGUUGAGAAUGUUCAAGUUUAUGCAGAGUUCACAUUGCGAAUCUGGGAUCAACUGGGGGCAAAGCUUGAAUCUUUUCAAGGUAAAAUGUCUGUCUUUACAUGCAAUUAGUAAGUCAUCUGAAUUAAUUGAAGGCAAAUCCAAAUAAUAUUACGAGAGCGCUCCUUUUACUCUAGCAGAUAAAUACUGGUUCCAUACACCAAAGUCUAGCUGGGGCUGGCCAAGAUUCGUUUCAUUGAGUGAGUUAAAUGAUCCAGAGACUGGGUUCCUAGUGAAUGACGUUUGCGUGGUGGAGGCUGAGGUCACUGUGCUUGGAAUUUCCGAGCCAAUAUAACAAGUAGUUACUUGUCGUCCAAUUGGGUUCUUUUGUUGUGUGAUGCUGACUGCCAUCCUGGCUAAUCGAGGAAAUUUAUUUUAGCUUGCAAGAAAAUUAUUUCUCUCCUGGAUUUCCAAAUCAUAGCUAUGUUGAUUAUUGUUUCAGUUGUCCAGUUAACCUUUAGUGUGAUUUUGGUGAUCUAAUUUUAUGCAUCUAUGAACGUGAAGAUUUAUUAUAUGCUCUUGGCAGUAAUUCCUCUUUCUUCUAAGAUUUUGAUUUCCAAAAAGAAAGACGUGAUUGGUACAAAGAAAAUUGGGAUGUAAGAGAGAAAUCGAAGGCAAUGAAACCAACUGAAACAAUUAAUCCAAUCACAUGGAAUAUUAUUAUAUGACUUUCUUUUGAUUUAUCUACCAAACUUUAUUUAUUAUUACUUUUUUUUCCCUCGCUGGAUUACAGUGAAAAACAAAUUGAUGACCCAGUUUCAGAAAUUUGAUGAAUAUCAAUAGUCAGACUAAUUCAUUUAAUAUUCAGAUUUUCUUAUUACUGAACUACGGCCGUCUAAUAUCUCAUUGAAUUCAUGGUGGUUGCAAGAAACUUAUUGUAAUGAAAAUAAAUGCAAAAAAGCCAAUAUUCUUCAUGAAGAAAAAGCUGAUCUGCUGUUCUCGAUUUUGGUAUAUUCGACUGUUUAAAGUAUAUGCAAAGCUCAGACUCUAUAUUUUGGAUCAAGUGCGGGCAAGGCACACAACUUUUAAGGGUGGGAUCAUUUGUAACAUUUAAAUGAGAUACUUACGAAUUUUAUUAGUUAAAAUCAGUCUUUCAUAUUUUAUUAGGAUUUACCUUAUUUAGCAUUUGUUUUUGAGUCAGUUUUUGUAAUUCCAUUUUUAUUUGGAUUUAAAUUUAUUUCUCUUAUUUAUUUGGGAUUUGGACAAAGUUAUUAGCUACUAAGUUGUAUCAAGCGGAGCAUUCCUGAAGCCAUCAUCGGACUUAGCAUGAACCACCCCCAAAAGACAGCUGCCUCGAAACGCUGCCGUUUCGGUCGCGAAACGCCGUCCGAGAAUUCCCACGAGGCAGAAUGUGCAUUCGGCAAGUAUUUGGAAGAAUUUUUUUCCGUGGAAUGUCUGUUCUCUCUCCUUCUCUUCUUGGCCAAAUUAAUAUACAUAAAAUCUUCAGCUUCUUAUUUAAUUUCCUAAUUAAUCAAUCGGUGUAUAAAAUUACUUUAAUAGCUAUUGAAAGAUCCACUUCAAAAGCGCCACCGGCUCAUUACAUUGUCAAAAUAAAAUCAUUUUCAUUACUAGCGGAAAAAGCAGAAGAGGAAUAUGAAUCAGGAGAAUUUGAAGUUGGAGGCUACAAGUGGUAUGUAAGUACGUAUGUGUGUGCGUGUGUGUGUGUCCUUAAUUGACGUAAUUAAAUUUAAUUAUCAUGUUAGUGUAUUAUUUAUUAAUGUCGAUUAAUUAUUACAAGGAACUUGUUCUGUACCCAAAUGGAAAUUAGAGCAAGAAUGUGAAAGACUACAUCUCACUCUACUUAGCAAUUGCAGGCACAAGUUCAUUUACUUUGGAUUGGGAAGUCUCUGCAGUUUUUUGUCUGUUCUUACUUGAUCAGAACCAAGACAACUACUUUGUAGUUCAAGGUUGAAUCAAAUUUAAUGUCCAGAAUUGUAUAUUUCAAACAAAAAUUUUGCUCGAAUCUUUAGGAAAGAAAUUGAAUGCAUGCAUAAUCAGUGGUUGCUUUUAAUGUGAUAGAUUGCAUGGGUAAGGAAAGACGGUUUAAUGGACUGAAGCCUGUAUGGGGUUUUGAUAAAUUCAUCCCGCUUAGACCUUUCAAUUAAUGAUGCUUCGAAUGGAUACCUUGUCGAAGAUACGUGUGUUUUUGACGCUGAAGUGCUUGUUAAAGAAAGAAACAAAUUCAAAGGAGAGUGCCUAUCUAUGAAAGAAAUUGCAAGUAGUUGUAAGUAUGUUUGGAAGAUCGAGAACUUUUCAAAGUUGGACGCAGGAUAUGAGGAAUCACAAGUUUUCGAUGCUGGAAAUCACAAAUGGUAUCAAAGAUUUUAAUUUUUUUUUAUUUAUACAGGUAUAAUAAAUAAUAAGUUCUGGAGACAAAGUUGUCAGUGAGUGUACAAUUAAUUAAAUACCAUUUCGUUUUUUUUUCAGGAAGAUAGAGCUGCACCGGAAGGGAGCUAGCCCCGGUGCUGGCGAUUAUCUUUCCUUGUUCUUGGGUUUUGGAGAUUCCGCAGUUCGGAGUAUUGUUAAAGUAUGCGCAGAGUUUACAUUUCAAAUCUUGGAUCAAAUUCGGCCAAUGCAUGAAUCUUCUUAAGGUAUAUUGCUUGUUUGUUAUAUGCAACUAAUUUGGUUGCCACCGGUAAUUUGAUCGAGUGAUUUUCAAGUAGUUUUUUUUUUUACCUUUUGAUUUUAAAAGUACCUUUAACCUAAAAAAAAAAUCAGCUUAAUUUGAGGUUAUAGAAUUCAAAUAAUAUGUAUAAUGAGAAUGAUGUUGGGAAUUUGCGGGUGCAGCAGACACGCAACUAAAGUGAAAUUAAGAAAUAAUGAACAUACAUGGACACUAGAAUUUACGUUGUUCAACUUUUAGCCUACAUCCACAAACAAAGACAAAAUGAAAUAUUUUAAUAGUGAAAAAGAGUUAUAAGUAUUGUAAUAUUUUUUCUCUCAACCCAAAAUCUCAAUACACUCAAACUUUUAAAACACUAGAACUACAGCUCAAAGCUCUCAACGCUCUCAACUUACACCUCUUGGCACUCUCACUUGAAUUGGAGAAAAUGAGAUAAAUAAAGAGGGUAAAUGAGGUCUCUAUAGAUAGGUCAAGCCAUGCCCAAAAAUCAACAAUGGCAGGCAUUAAAAUAAUAUAAAUUUCCACCCAACGUUUCAACUUUGGUGCCAAAGUCAAAAGUUGAUUCCUUCCACUUACCUUUAUUUUCCACUUACUCAACAACUUUAUGUUAAGAGUUAAAAAAUUGCAUGCCAGCCACGUGCAAUUAUUUACCACAUGCAUGCACAUGUUCAACAAAUGAUUCUUUUUCUCUAGGAGGUAGAAAAUGGUUCUAUGCACCAGGCGAUAAUAAGUGGGGUUGGUCAAGAUUCGUUUCAUUAAGUAAGUUAAAUGACCCAAAGAAUGGGUAUCUUGUGAACGACAUUUGCGUGGUGGAAGCUGAGAUUACGUGCUCAGAAUCUCGAGGCAUUAUAAUAACAAGUAAUUCGAGCAAAAUAUGAAGAAAAUUGAGAUGUUUAUUCUUCUUGGUUUCUCACGAAAAAAAGAAAUUCAUUGAUUUUAUGGCUUACUUAUGCGAUCACAUUUGUUCAUUGACAUAAUUCUUAAUCCGGGAAGAAAAUCUCUGACAAUCUUAAUCCUGGAAUAAAAUUACUAUCUAUCAAAUAUUAACAAGUGAGAUGGUGAUAAAAACUCUUAGUUUUUAAUUAAAGAGAAGCAUUAAUAAGAUAAAUUGAGUACAAUAGAGCAAGAAAUUAAUGUUACAUGAAAGAAAUAUCAUAUAUGGACAUUUAAGAAUUCAAAAGAAGUAGUUUCUAAACUAAAAAAGGAUCAGAAGCUAGCAUGUUCGGUAUGGUUUUUAAAUUUAUAUUUUCUUAGAAUAAAAAUGAGAACGAAAAUGGUGUUUUGAAGUUCUUAUAUUUCUAAUUUAAAUAUGUGUUUGGUAUUAUUUUGUAUAUCCUAUAUUUAGAAAAUGAAAUUAAUAAUACACGUUCGGUAUCUAUUAACAGUUUUUACUUCAUGCAAGUUAAAUUUGUGUUUAAAAUUCAUAUAAAAACUAAUUUAUUUUUCAAUAUACCAACUUACAAACAACAACAGCAAUAAUAAUAACAAUAAUUCUAAUAUCCAAUUUUAACUUUUUUAAAUAAUUAUUUUUUGUUAACAUGCUCACUAUUCGAUCGAUCUUUCUACCGUAUACACUUGAUUCGAAAAGGAUAUAAAAGGAGGAAAAAUAAUUUUAUAAAUAUUAAAUAUAAUUCUCCUUUUUAUCAAAAAAGAAAAAAAUCUAUUGAAUUCUUACAACAUUUUAACAUUUGAUCAAAUUAAAAUGAUUAAAUAUGGCGUUUCUGGGGAACAAAAGAAAAAGAUUACAUGCUUGCUUACAAUUAAGAACCAAAUACCCAUAUCUGCAAAGUUCAGUGUAAAUCUCUAUAGAUCUUUGGUGAUUUUAUCAAAGCAAAACUAAAUAAAAUGUAAUAAAUUGUAUAAGAACCCAGAAAUAUGUUGAAAAAAAUGAUCGAGCUAAUAAAGAAAAGAAUUAUGAAGGAAAGUAGAAAAAAACAGAGGAAGAAGAAAAGAAGAAGAAAGGAAGAACGAGAUGCAGUUCAUAAAUCAUGAAGGAAGAUGAGAGUUAAGAGAUAAGGUUAGUGAGAUAGACGGGGUGUCAAGAGUCUUAAAGAUGGAGACUAUCUGCUAUUUUUAUUAACCGUGUAUAUUAUUAUAUUUUAUUUUACAAUUUGUUUUAUAAAACAAGUAAAACAUGUAUAUAGUUGUUUUAUAAUUUAUAACUAUCAAAGCUAAGUCAGAUUCUAUGUUUUACAAUUAGGUUUUACGAGAAGGGCUACCGAACACUUAUUCCACUUGAAUUUAUAAAAAGAAAAUGAGAAUGGCCCAUGAAAAACGGUGCCGAACGUAAAAAAUAUGUUAUUGCAAAAUAAGAUAAUUAAUUUGGUCAUAACUAUCCACAACAGUGAAUUAGAUAUUAGAUUAUUAUUUGUGCUUGAUCAGAAGAGAGACGAGUUCUUGAUUCUUCAAGGUUAAUUAUUACACUCAGCAAUGUUUAUGAUUAUUUUGUUCUUAUUUAAUUAUUUAACUAAGAGCUAAUCAAUGAUUUGGUCAACUUCAUGUAAUAGAUGCCAUGGGAAAUGAAAGAAGCUUGAAUUAGGUUUUGAUCAAUUCAGAAUUGAAUGAUAUCUGGAUUUAAUGCUCAAGUCAGGACGUUCAGAGUCUAUAAAACCUCGAUUCGAACUAUAAUCAAAGUUGUACAUUUUAUAAUGAUGCACAACUCUAAUAUAUAAUAGCCGAAAUCUAGACAUCUGUACCAGAACAUGACUAAUACUUAAGGUUCAUUUAUACAUGUGCGAUAUAUUUCUAAUGGUAAUGUAGAAGAAAUUUGAAUAGUACAACUUGUUAAAAAGGGGCCUCAUGUUAUGACCACUUCUUCGAAUGUAUAAUGUAAAUGAUUUUCUAAAAUUUACUUGUUUCUCUGUUCAUAUAUAUAAACUAAAUGCCACAUUUGAAAGUUAAUGUUUUAAUAAUUUGUUAAGUGGAACCUCUUAGUAAAUAAGUACAAUUGAAUGCCGAGACUUAAACUUUACCCUUGUUGAUUUUUUCAGGAAGGUAUGCCUCUAUCCCGAGGGACAGAGAGAAGGACCUGGCAGUCAUAUUUCUAUGUACCUGAUAUUUGGCUGACUUCUCAACUAUAACUCGUGGUUUUAAAAAUACCUUUGUUUCACACUGCAAAUCCAGGAUCAAGUGUAGUCAAAGCAUAAUCAUAAAACUUUACCCUUGUUAUUAUUAACCCAAGCUUUAACAGGUGUUGAAGUUCAUCAAUAAGCGUAGUAGCUAAAUACAGAUAACUUCAGGUUUCUAUUGUUGUUCCUGUAGCCAGUACAUGGUUUAGGAACUCAAUCGAAGAUUGGGGCUGGCACAAAUUUGUUGAACCCAGUUACUUGAACAAGGCAAGCAAUGGUUUUCUUGUGAACGAAGUGUGCAUUGCUGAAGUAGAGGUGUCUGCGCUUAGAAUUCCCAAAGCCCUGUAAUAUCUACUCUAAUAAGCAUUGCUACUCUUGCAAGAAAAUUGGGAUGCCAAUUUUUUAAUUUUAUUUCUUAUAAUAAGAGUUAAUCUCAUCGUACCCAAAUAUUUUGACAGAGAAAUUCAAUUGUUGCCGCUCGAUAAUUGGUGGUUAAUUGGUUGUUAAGUCUCCACAUGGAAACUAGAUGGGGAUGCUUCUUAUAGGUUUAGCCUGUGAUAUCUUAUUCACUGUUGCCCCUCUUUUUUUCUCUCUGUGUUUUGCCAGUCGCAAUAGGUUUUUUUUAAGUUUUUUUAUUUUACGAGCGUGAAAUAAAAUCAACUUAACUUUCAGAUUAGAUUAAUAAAUAUUUAUCGAACACUAAGUGCUGCUCAACCAUAAUACUAAAUCGGGCCUAAAUUUUGGAAGCUAAUUUUAUAAUAUUUGAUAAUAGAAAAUAGAACAACUAAAAUACUGCUUCAGUUCGUUGAAAUAGACGUUUUUUGAGUGGAGGGCACAUAUUCUUGUUCAUUUGUAUUGUAGUUGUUUUCUUACCCCUUACCAUCCAUUCUUGCAACCAAGCAAAGAAAUCAAUAUUCCUUGACCAAACCAAACAAAUUAAAGAAUCAAUCUCCCUUCCCCCCCUUGCAUUCCCCUUUCCAUUCCAUUCUUGCAACCACCAGUUUCCAAAACUUGGCGAAUAUCAAUAGUUAUUCUGACUCUUUCUGAAAAUUUAAUGUUGAAUUGUAUAAACCCUCAACCUUGGUGCUUUAUAUAUGCCAUUGUCCCUUUUAGAUAUUUUAAAGAAGAAAUAUUAUUUUUGAGAGACCUGUAACCCUUGAAAAAUCUUAUCUUAAUAAAUCUGUCUUCAAUACUAGUUUUAAUACUCGAGAAAUUAUUGUAAUUUGGAGGGAUUUGUUGCAAUGGAAAAUGACUUUGUAGACCAAGUUGGUAUGUUGUCUAACUCUUUCCUCAGCUUCCCUUCUCUACGUAUGUUUAUAUAUGUGCAUUAAUUGAACAUUUUUAGCUUGUUAUCUUCUUAUCAAUGUUAAAAUUACUCUUGACGGCAAUUUCAAGAUCCAUUUCACACGUACCACCGGCUCAUUUCUUACUCAAAAUACAUGAAUUUUCAUCUCUUGUGGAGAAUGAAUUGGAAAUUUAUGAAUCUUUGGAAUUUGAUGCUGGAGGCCACAAGUGGUAUGACCUAAAACUUAGUGAAUUAAUAUUCAGAUUACCUUGUUACUAAAUUAUAAUUCAUAAUCUAAUAUGUUAUUUUGAAUUCAUGAUGGUUUCAGGAAACUUGUUGUCUACCCAAAUGGAAAUGAAAACAAAAAUGUGAACGAUCACAUCUCACUCUACUUGGAAAUGGUAGACACAAGUUCACUUGGCUUUGGCUGGGAAGUCUAUGCAAUUUUCCGCCUCUUUGUGCUUGAUCAGAACAAAGACGAGUUCUUGAUUCUUCAAGGUUGAUUAUUAUACUCAACAGUGUUCACGAUUAUUUUGUUCUUAAUUAUUUACCUAAGAGCUAAUCGUGAUUUGGGGUCACUUCAUCAUGUGGUAGAUGCCAUGGGAAAAGAAAGACGUUUUCAUGGAUUGAAGCUUGAAUGGGGUUUUGAUCAAUUCAUCCCGCUGGAAGAAUUUAACGAUGCUUCGAAUGGAUAUCUUGUGGACGAUACGUGUGUUUUUGGAGCAGAAGUACUGGUUAAAGAAAGGAACAAAUGCAAAGGAGAGUGCCUUUCCAUGACGAAAUUGACAUCUGCUUCCAUUUAUAAGCAUGUUUGGAAGAUCGAGAACUUUUCAAAGUUAGAGGCAAAGCGUCACGAAUCAGAAGUAUUCAUUGCUAGAUAUCAAAAGUGGUAUAUGUAUAUAUAUACUUUCUGAAAUGGUGUCCAAAUGUCCAAAUUUCACGAGGUUUGGAUUUAGCCUACGAUCAAGUAGACGUCCGAAGUUGAGGAUGACUAAUUCUUUCUGUUAAUUUCUUUACUCAUAUCAUCUAAUUAAAUGCCUCAUCUGAAAAUUAACCCUUGUUGAUUUUUUCAGGAAGAUACAGCUCCAUCCCAAGGGAAUCAAAAGUAGAACCGGCAGUCAUGUUUCUAUGUCCUUGGCAUUGGCUGAUUCCUCAACUAUAACUCCUGGUUUUAAAAUAUAAGUGCACUUCACACUGCGAAUCCGGGAUCAAGUGCGGGGAAAGCAUAAAGAAGCAAAAAGUAAUUAAAUAAAAAAAUUAUUAUCCCAAACUUAUUUCACAGGUGCAUGAAUUAAUGCAAUAGUACUGCAACUAUAAGCUUUAUAGCUGAAUACAAAUAACUUGAGGCUUUCUUUAUUGUUGUUUCAUGCAGCAAGUAUAUGGUUCAGGUCCUCAUGGGGUUGGCCAAGAUUUGCUGAACUCAGUUACUUAAACGAGGCAGGCACUUGUGAAUGAUGUGUGCAUUUCGGAAGCAGAGGUUUCUGUUCUUGGAAUUUCAAAAGCAUUGUGAUAAUUUAAAUUCUUGUUGUUGUUAUGAGAUAUAUCUAUUCAUCUCUUGGUAAAAAGAAUGUGUAUUUUACACUAAUAACUUUAGGAAGUGAGUUGCAAAGGCAGCUCCAUGAUUUAUGAUGUAUGUGUGUAUCAUCAUACUCCUUGAAAUGAAACAUGUUUCUGCAAUGAAUAGUGAUAUAUCUAUUCAUCUCAUGUUCAAUUUCAAAAAACAUGUUUCUAAACGCACGACCGAAUAUAUAUGCUUUAUUGGCUAUAAAUACCCAUCAAUCAAAUAUUUCAAGAGAUUGAGAAAUGAAACAGUGAACACGCGAAGAAGUUCUGCUAAUUAUUCUACCAUUGACUUAUUAUUAUUUUGCUCCUUUUAACUUCAUGCCAUUUUUAUUGUUUGACAUAUUUGUACCCCUUUUUUAUUCAAGUAAAGAGGUGUAUUUAAAAGAUCUCUUUCACUAAAACAGUGGCAUUAUAAAAAAAAAAAAAACAGAGAACCCAACAGUUGAGAUGAGGCCGGGAGACCUCAAAGAGAUGUAGAGUUUUUUUUUUUUUUUUUUAAUUUUAAAUAUGCCGUAAAAAUGGCCAAUUUCCAGAACUACGCCUGCUUUCGGCUUUAUUCACUUAUAUGAGAUUACGACCGAGUGAAUUGCACAAAGACUAUAAAAUACAUUCAUUCAAUAUAGCAACACAAGUUCAAUACCUAAAAAACCUAUUUUGCCCCUCUCUCUCCAAUUUUUUUUAAAAAAAAAGUGACAGGCUUUCUUUAGUUUAAUUUUUCGUUCUUUAUAAUGCAUAGAUAAAUUACUUAAGUACAAUUAGAAUAUUAGAUAAUUAUGGAAUAAUUAACAAAUUAUUUAAUCAUAAUUAGUUCAUUUUCGAUAAUAUUUGAGUAAUUAAAAAUCAAUUAAAAAAUUAAAUAUAGAUCGAAUAUGAAAAUGAGUCUCACAAUUAUGUAACUAUUGGUUAAAAUAAAGUCGAGUAUAGUUGUCAACUAAAAAAGGUCGGGCAGCUAACUAAUGGGUGUGGGUAGAGUGUGUCAUUCUAAUGGAAGGGCUUUCUAGACUUUUCCUCACAUAUUUGUCAUGUUUAUGGAAAUUUUAUUUUUAUUGAUGGCAUAAUCCUCAAAAACUCCUCUUUAGAUACAUAUGAAGUCCGGAGACAAUAAACGGAUAAACACUCUAAGGCCGAAGUGUGAUGGGUAACCAAGAUCGAAAUAUCUGGCGGCUCGAAUCAAGGGAUCCAUAGAUACUUCUCUGAAGCGAGGGAUCCAUAGAUACUUGGGAGAAAAGAAACGUCAAAAUAUAAAAAAUAUCCAUAAAUAAAUAAACAUAAAACAAAAAAAAGUGCAUAAAUACACGAACAAUACACAGAGAGAGAGAGAGUUCUAGAAAGAGAGACAAUGGUGCUAUGGGAGAUCACAUUGGGAACAGCGUAUUUCUUGGGGAUGAAGCGGACGUACAGGCUUGCUUUGAGGAUUCAGGGCCGCGUUAUCAGCCCUAGCACCCCCGGAUUCGUCAAUUUGUUCACCGGUAUAUUUGUGUUACUGUUGUUGUUAUUAUUAUUUGAUUAUUUCAUUUUGUUUGGAGUUUGAUUUUGAUUAAUUUGUAGCUUGAUGGGUUAGCAAUCAAUAGGUUUAUUAGCAGAUGGGUUUAAUUAAGCUAGGUGGUUUCAAGUGUUAAUUUUCAGUAAUGGGUUCUGUAGCUAUGUUCAUUACGGCAAUAAGAGCUGUUGAUUUUGGAGUCAAAAGAGGUUUAUGAUGAUGAUGGUGGUAUUCGUGGUGUUGAUAAUGAUAUGUAUUAUACUGAUAUGGGAUAUAUUAACAAUACAUUGCAAUGCAAUGUUCUUGUGUUUCACGAUUUUAUGAAAUUUUUCAAAAUUGAUCUUGGUAAUUUGAUUUAAGUGCAUAGUAGUGUGUGUUAUUUUGAAUUUGGUUAUUGAUGCUUGCUAAAGAUCUAAUGUAACAAAGCUGGGGAGAGUAAUGGAGUGUUUUGUGGCUAGGAAUUGAUUUCUUGUAGAAGUAAUGUGGCUUAAUAGCGGCUAGACAGAGAACUGCUGAUUAGCAAAGGCAACGGACAGAAGGAUCCAAAAUUUUAGGUUUUCUAAGAAUAGGGGGAGAGGGUGGGUUCUGUAGCUAUGUUCAUUACGGCAAUAAGAGCUGUUGAUUUUGGAGUCAAAAGAGGUUUAUGAUGAUGAUGGUGGUAUUCGUGGUGUUGAUAAUGAUAUGUAUUAUACUGAUAUGGGAUAUAUUAACAAUACAUUGCAAUGCAAUGUUCUUGUGUUUCACGAUUUUAUGAAAUUUUUCAAAAUUGAUCUUGGUAAUUUGAUUUAAGUGCAUAGUAGUGUGUGUUAUUUUGAAUUUGGUUAUUGAUGCUUGCUAAAGAUCUAAUGUAACAAAGCUGGGGAGAGUAAUGGAGUGUUUUGUGGCUAGGAAUUGAUUUCUUGUAGAAGUAAUGUGGCUUAAUAGCGGCUAGACAGAGAACUGCUGAUUAGCAAAGGCAACGGACAGAAGGAUCCAAAAUUUUAGGUUUUCUAAGAAUAGGGGGAGAGGGUGGAGCAAAUAAAAAUUACAAAUGUGUAAAAGAUCCUGAAAACCUAAUUUCAAAAGUUUAUCCAGAUAUGAGUGUUGUCGUCUACUUAUGUUAUAUAUUGCAGUGAAAGUAAACCAUGUUUACCUUACAGAAACUAUUUUUGUGUGAACUUAACCAUGGAGUAACUAUAUAGGAAGCAACAGACAUGAGCUAUCCUUGUAGCAUCUCCUAAUUACUUAUAUAUUUCCUUAGGAAGUACUCCAAUGCCAUCAAAAACCAUAAAAGCGUGUGUUCUUUAGGGAGGUAUUGUAUGGAUUUUGGUUUUCUUUUGGGGUCAAAGAUUCAUAGAAUUUCUCCUUGCUCUUCCCUUGUAUUCUCUCUUCUCACUACCUAUUGUACGAUUCUUUCUUCUAUUUCCAUUUCUUCAAAAAAAAUUUAGCUGAAAUUUCUACCUUCUAAUGCCUCUUCAAUGGGAUUUUGAUGGAUUAUGUGGAGUUGAUUGCGUCGAAUCUGAAUUCUAUAUGUUGCAGCAAUGCAUCCUGCGGAAUGGGAUUAUCUUAGGAUAUGUGUCCACGACUAUGACGGCUUGUAUUUGCCUAUGUAUUAUCAUCUCUUUGAAAAGUCCACAAUUAUGAUGGCUUGUCUUUGGCUAUGUAUUAAUCGUCUCUUUGAAAAGUUACUUUGAUGGUGGUUCAUAAAUUGUUAUUCAUGGUCUGAAUUUUCUGUCUGAGUGCCAUGCCACUAGACCAUCUCUUAAAAUGGAAGUUUUCUUGUUAGAUGCACCUGUUGUACUCUACUUGUCUACUUUUGAGUGUGCCCCAUCUUGGCUAAUCCGAUGAACUUAUUGCUUCCAAUCUUAUGAGCUCCAUUGAAGUUUAGUUGUACAGAGGCCAAAUAUGUGCUUGAAUACAACUAUAACAAAGUACCAAUCUGUAUUUUAUUUGUGUUAAAUAUAUAAGAAUAUGGAAGGAAACACUUUAGAAUAGUACUUCAACUAGUUCAUCGUGCAUCCUGACAUUUCUACUUCAGCUUGGUUGUAAGCUGAUGUGAAUGGUUCACAUUGACUUGAUAUCAUAUGCAAUAUGAGAGACCACUGGGCUCCUCCCUGAAAGCAAUUAUUCUUCCCUAUCUGACUUAGAAUGGCCCUGUGCCUUUCAUAAUAAAAUCAGCUUCUAAAUCUGUGAUCUUAUGACAUAUUGGAUAGGCUAGGUUGCUGAAUUUGUGAUUUAACCAAUUAUGGAGCAAAGCCAAUCCUUUAAAGGAUUAAGAGAAGUUACUAUCAACUCAGUUGAUCGUUGAAUAUCCGCAACUGCAACCUGCAUUCUCUUAUUCUAGAUUGGUGCAUAUUUUCUAUUGCGAAGUUUUGCAAACCUCCAACUAGUUUUGUCUGUGUGCCCAUUAUGGGAUUUGAAUCAACUUAUCUUUUAGAUUUGCCAUAUCAAACUUUUAACAAAAUGUUUUUGCUGUUUUGGCAUUAUGUUGAACCCUUGAUGUCAAAGCAACAUGUUUGCCAGCUUCUUGUAGUACCUGUAGGUGAAGCAGUUAGAGAGUCUCAUAUGUAUUCCUGUGAACUUAUUAUCCAAUCAAGCUACAAUGCUCGGAUACCAGAACUAAUUUCAUUAUUAUGAGCACAUUCUUAAAUUGCUGUCUCUCUUUAGGUGAUGUGAAGAUUUUGGAAGCUGGAGAUCAUAGCUGUACUCUUGUUUAGUUCAGAGAGACUGUUUUGAAAUGAUAGAUUGAAAGUUCUUCUGUGCUUUUCUUUUUAAUGGGCCGUUGUAUUGUGAUGUUUAUUAGUAGGACGUUAUUAACUUCAUGAAAGUAAGUUACCGGGCACAUAUUUUUGCUCCAGAAUCCUUCCGAUCUAGUGCAUAAAAUGGAAAUCCUAAAUUAGUUAAUUGUUUCAAUACUUUGGACUUCGAAUUGAUUUAGUUUGCCUCAUGAAGCCAAUAAUUGCACAUCCUCCACUCUUAGAGUCUCAGUGUGAUAUUGCCCACGGUACUGCCUGAGCGUUGCAUUCUUCCCACUGGUUGGCUCAUUGGACUCCAUUUUACUGUUUAACUACUGCUGUUAUGUCAAUUACUAGCUGGCAAAUACUGUUAUUUCUACAAUUGUUUUGAAUAAUAACAAAUUUAUUACUCCUCCAACUUGGAACUGCCAUUGUUUUUUGAAGACUGACCUUCAUUCUUCAUUGAUUUUUUCCACAGCCGCAUAUGUGCUGCCUUUGAUGUUGCUCUCAAGUUUCACAGGAACAUACAUGAGAGGGACAUAGAAGUUGGUAGCAAUGCUGGGUUCUACGUUGGCUUGACUGAAUGAAACCAUCUGCCCAGAUACGUGGUCCCCCUGAGAAACCUUCACAUGGCCCCAGCAUGAGCAUGACCAACCAUGGAAUGAAGUUCUCGAAUCCAAAAACUCCUGGAGUCCAAACAUCUAGAAACAAGGAAUCUGAUAGACAUCUGUUUAGCUCAUCAAAAAAUAUAUGGCCUAAACCACCCUUUUCUACCAUUGCCAUGAUGAUGCGGCAUCCAAGGCCUGCGGGAACGACAACCCAUUAUAGGCAUCUUGAGACAAAUGGAUCUGAUCUGUUGAGUUUGAACUACAAUAGAAAUGGGUUUGAUGGAGUCCUGCGAAAGGACAUUAUGCAGUGGUUGCUGCAAAAGUGAAGGUAGAAGCUUUCGGGUCCCACGUCACAUGAUUUUCGGCCAAGCAGAAUUUAGUUUCCCUCCCUUUUGUCAGUCAAUCUGUUUCAGAAAUUUUGAUGGUGAUCAAAUCAAAAUUGAUGCUUCUAUUCAUGUAUCAGUGCAAUAAGUGAGCUACUGAUAAUCGUGGCUCUGUUUUGGACUUCAGUACCUUUGACAUUAUAUGCGAGGGAGGAAGGUUAUGUUCUUUUGUGGUAUCACUGCUCCAUUAACACUUUGCCCAUGUUUGAGUAUCAUAUUGGCAUUUUUACGUUGAUUAACUAAUUAACAUAAUUAUAUAUCAUUAAGCCGCUAUGCACAACGCUAUGGUUGGAUCUAAUUAGGAUUCAAUAAUGUCGAUCUAGACUUACUUCAGCUUUGAGCUUUGAAGUACAUUUUAAUACUUGCACAUUAUUAUUCAUGCGAUUAAUAUCUAUAUAUUUGUUUUGUUUACUUUAAUUAUUAACAAUCAAUAAAUUUCUCCACACAAAACAAUCUGUGAAAUGAACAAUCCCUACAUGAGCUUAGAAUUUUCUAAGCGCUGUAACGAAGAUUAGUACAAACCAAAGAAAAUUUCGAUUGAGUUUAUAUUUUCGAGUUUGGUCAAUUAGAAAGUAGGAUGUAGACAGUCCAAUCAUUAGGCUUUUUAUUAAAUUUUUUUAUUUAUCCCCUAUUUAGUAAUUAAUGAAGAUUCAUUGUAUAUUUGCUUAAAUUAUCUUUAUUCAUUGUAUUUUCAAGCAUCACAUUUUUGUGUUCUAGAUUCUAUGAUUUUUUUGAGAGACAAAACUCAGUACCUCCUCCCAGUAAUUUUAUUUUUCUUUUAUUUAAAUUGACUUAGUGCUGUCCAAGUUUCUAAAAAUAAAAAUUCAACAACUUUUGGAGAACUUUUCGCAAUGGAAAAUAUCUUUGUUUAACAUAGAUGGUAUGUAUGUUCAACCUUUUCUCACGUUCUCUAGAGGACAAUAUUCUUAAAAUUUUCAGCUUCUUGUUAAUGCCACCUACAAAUGGGAUGAUAGAACGAGUUGUCAUUCACAUAUUGCAUAUUCAUCAAUCUCUUCACCUUUGGUUAAAGUCGGGAGGUAACACUCAAUUUAUGCAGGAACCAACAAACAAAAGAUGCAUUUUUUGGUAGUAUGAAGACAAUUGAACCAACGAGCGUGAAGGCCCAAAAAAAAAAAAAAAAAAUGAAGUAGAGAAUUGGUGACCCAGGUCAUAUGACUUUAGUAUGCUCGGUAGUAUCAUUUUUUAUAAAUUUCUGAGACUUUGUUUUGGGGUUGUGGUUAUAAGCUUUCGGGUCCCACGUCACAUGAUUUUCGGCCAAGCAGAAUUUAGUUUCCCUCCCUUUUGUCAGUCAAUUUGUUUCAGAAAUUUUGAUGGUGAUCAAAUCAAAAUUGAUGCUUCUAUUCAUGUAUCUGUGCAAUAAGUGAGCUAGUGAUAAUCGUGGCUCUAUUUUGGACUUCAGUACCUUUGAAGAGCUAGCUACCGGUCUUGUAGUUGUUUGACAUUAUGGGCGAGGGAGGAAGGUUAUGUUUUUUCUGGUAUCACUGCUCCAUUAACACUUUGCCCGUGUUUGAAUUUCAAUUCAUGCCAAAUUCUCAUCAAACAAAGAGAUCUUUUGAUUGUUAACAUGCAAGGUGCAAGUAAUCAAUCAUGGUUCUGUCUUGGUAAAAUUAUAUUACAAAUUAUAAUCAGUCAAAUUGGUCGUAUUCGAGUCGUUUUUAUAAUUUCAGUUUAGUUAGGACUUAAUUUAGUUUCUUAAAUUUUUAGGAUUAAAAUUAAGCUAAAUUUUAAGUUAACUUAUCUUCAAAAGAAAAAAAAAAAAGAUAUUCAAUAUACAAGGUGUGUUUCUCUAUUAUUUCCAUUUUUGUCCCAUUUUGCAAUAUAUAUUCAAUCAACUCCUCAACCCUAAUGUAAUCCGAAUUCGAAACCCAAACCUUUUGAACCACCGCUAUUAUCAUAUUUGUAUAUUCACGUUGAUUAAUUAUUUAAAAUAAAUAUAUCAUCUAGGCUGUUAUGCACAAAGCUUUGGUUGGAUCUAAUUAGGAUUCAAUAAUAUCGUAUUUUUCAAGAUUCAUGCAUAUUUUUAACUUAGGGCUAUUAUGUCGAUCUAGACUUAGGAUGCGUUUGGAUUUGAACUUGGGCAGAGCUACAGCGCUAAAGUGUUUGAUAAACAAUAAUUGUUGUAGCUUAAAAGCUAUUUUAAUAUGAUUUUUCACUUGUAUGAUGAAAAAGGGAAAAAUCAUCUGUCAUCCCUAGGGUUUCAUGUAAUACCUCAUUUCAUCCCUACUUUUUAAAUAAUAACUCAAAACAUCCUUUUAUUAACUCACUGUUAGUUAAAUGUCGUUUGUUAGUUAUUCAUUGAGGGUAAAAAAAGAUUUUCUAUUAAAGAGAAAAUUAAAAAUAAAUAAAUAAAAGUUGACAUAUAACUAAAAAUGAUUUUUAUCUAAUCCCACUAAACAAUAAAUACCAAAAAAGAUGAAAACUUCUAUUUCAAACAAUUAUUUUACACUUCUCUCUAUUUUGGCGGCAUGAAAACCCUAUAAACUCUAUAUUUAAGUACAAAAAAUAAUCACAAUUUUAAUAUUCGUAUAAGCAUACUCUCUAAUUGUACUGUGAGCCGACUUGGGGAGAUAGUGGUAAGGACUUGGGAAGACAAUAAUGGUCAAAGAAGAGUGGUGGCAAAGUUCAAAAUAAAAAUUGGUUGAAGAUUAAGAAGAUUUUCAGCACAUGUAAGCACAUAAAAUUUGGUUGUAUUUUUUAGUUUUUCUUCUAAUGAUUUAAAGAUAUUGUGCUAAUUACAAUUUGUUGCUUAUGGAAACUAUUAAGUGGUUAUAUCAAAUUACUUCAUCGUUGAUUUCAUUUAAGAAAAAAUUAAUAAAUUUGGCAUAUUUUGUAGUGUUACUUAAUUGUAUAAUGAAAUUAUUUUAAUAUAGUUUGAAACAUUUUAAUAAUAAUCAUAUUUUACCAAUUUAAAUGAAUUACUAGUUAACGGCAUUAAACUAACAGUGGUUAGCGGAAGGAUGUUUUGGGCUAUUAUUUAAAAAGUAAGGAUGAAAUGAGUUAUUGCAUGAAACUUUAGGGAUGAAAAGAGGUUUUUUCCGAUGAAAAAUCUAUUAUAUCUUUAAUAAUUUUGUCAAAAUUAUUAUUAAAAAUUAUUUUUACAAUACACUAUUAACUUUUAUUUCAUAAUUACAGUUUUUUUUCUACAAUAGUUGUACCUUAAAAGUUACAACACUUCAAUUUCAAACAGACUCUUACUUUUGCUUUGAGCUUUGAAGUACAUUUUAAUACUUGCACAUUAUUAUACAUGCGAUUAAUAUCUAUAUAUUUGUUUUGUUUACUUUAAUUAUUAACAAUCAAUAAAUUUCUCCACACAAAACAAUCUGUGAAAUGAACAAUCCCUACAUGAGCUUAGAAUUUUCUAAGCGCUGUAACGAAGAUUAGUACAAACCAAAGAAAAUUUCGAUUGAGUUUAUAUUUUCGAGUUUGGUCAAUUAGAAAGUAGGAUGUAAACAGUCCAAUCAUUAGGCUUUUUAUUAAAUUUUUUUAUUUAUCCCCUAUUUAGUAAUUAAUGAAGAUUCAUUGUAUAUUUGCUUAAAUUAUCUUUAUUCAUUGUAUUUUCAAGCAUCACAUUUUUGUGUUCUAGAUUCUAUGAUUUUUUUGAGAGACAAAACUCAGUACCUCCUCCCAGUAAUUUUAUUUUUCUUUUAUUUAAAACGACUUCGUGCUGUCCAAGUUACCAAAAAUAAAAAUAAAAAUUCAACAACUUUUUGGAGAACUUUUCGCAAUGGAAAAUAUCUUUGUUAACAAAGAUGGUAUGUAUGUUCAACCUUUUCUCACGUUCUCUAGAGGACAAUAUUCUUAAAAUUUUCAGCUUAUUGUUAUUUCUAAUCAAUCAGUGUUAAUUAAAAUUACUUAAAUGUAUAGCCAUUGCAAGAUACACUUCACUACCACCGGCUCAUUACAUUGUCAAAAUAAAAUCAUUUUCAUUACUUGCGGAAAAAGCAGAAGAGGAAUAUGAAUCAGGAGAAUUUGAAGUUGGAGGAUACAAGUGGUACAUAUAUAUAUAUAUAUUCUUAUCCUUAAUAACACAAGUUCAUUUACUUUGGAUUGGGAAGUCUCGGCAGUUUUUCGUCUGUUCUUACUUGAUCAGAACCAAGAAAACUACUGUGUAGUUCAAGGUUAAAUCAAAUUUAGUGUGCAGAAUUGUAUAUUGCAACAUUAGGAAAAAAAUUUGAAUGCAUGCAUAAUGAGUGGUUGCUUGUAAUGUGAUAGAUAUCAUGGGAAAGGAAAGACGGUUUAAUGGACUGAAGCAUGUAUGGGGUUUUGAUAAAUUUAUCCCGCUUAGAGCUUUCAAUGAUGCUUCGAAUGGAUACCUUGUCGAAGAUACGUGUGUUUUUGAAGCUGAAAUCCUUGUUAAAGAAAGAAACAAAUUCAAAAGAGAGUGCCGAUCUAUAAAAGAAAUUUCAAUUAGUUGUAAGUGUGUUUGGAAGAUCGAGAACUUAGACGCAGGAUAUGAGGAAUCACAAGUUUUUGAUGCUGGAAAUCACAAAUGGUAUCAAAGAUUUUAAUUUUUUUUUAAAUUUCUACAGGUAUAAUAAAUAAUGAGUUCUUGGGACAAAGUUGUCUGUGAGUGUAUGUUGGAGACUUAACACAUAUAACACUAAAAAAACACACUAUUUUAUUUCUUCAAUAACACUCCUCACCAACUACAACUCUUAUUUUUCACUCUCUACAACUUAGAGGUUUUGUUACUUCACUUGAUACUUAAACCAAAGGGGAGAGGGGGUAUUUAUACAUGAAACAAACUAAUCACAACCAUUCAUUUAUUCAACUAAUAAACAAAUCUUCACCAUCCAUUAAAACCUAUCACUCGCCUACUUCACCAACCACACCUACCACACCUAACACAAAUAAUUUAAACCUCACCAACUUUCCAUGAGUUGGGCUUAAAUUUAUUCAUCUUGGAUCAAGUUUAUGAUCCAACAGUGUACAAUUAAUAAAAUACCGUUUCGGUGUUUUCAGGAAGACAGAGCUACACCCAUGGGAACUGGGCCCAAUGCUGGCGAUUGUCUUUCCUUGUUCUUGGUUUUUGGAGAUUCCACAGUUCGGAGUACUGUUAAAGUAUACGCAGAGUUUACAUUUCGAAUCUUAGAUCAAGUUCGGGCAAUGCAUGAAUCUUCUUAAGACACAUUGCUUGUUUUAAUACGCAACUAAUUUAGUUGCCACUGGCAGCUUGACCGAGUGAUUUUCAAGCAGUUUUCUUUAACUUUUGAUUUUGAAAGUACCUUUAACCCAAAAUAAUAAUAAUAAUAAGCUUAAUUUGAGGCUAUAGAAUUCAAAUAAUAUGUAUAAUGAGAAUGAUUCUUUUUCUCUAGGAGGUAGAGAAAGGUUCCAUUGAGUAAGUUAAAUGACCCAGAGAAUGGGUACCUUGUGAACGACGUUUGCGUUGUGGAAGCUGAGAUCACUGUGCUCAGAAUCUCCGAGGCAUUGUAAUAACAAGUAUUCUUUUUGGUUUCUCACGAAAUAAAGAAAUUCAUUGAUUUUUUGCUUACUAAUGCGAUCACGUUUGUUCAUUGACAUAAUUCUUAAUCCUGGAAGGAAAUCUCUGACAAUCUUAAUCCUGGAAUAAAAUCACAUCUAUCAAAUAUUAACAAGUGAGAUGGUGACAAAAACUCUUAGUUUUUAAUUAAAGAGAAGUAUUGAUAAGAUAAAUUGAGUACAAUAGAGCAAGAAAUUAAUAUUACAUAAAAGGAAUAUCAUUUAUGGACAUUUAAGAAUGCGAAAGAGGUAGUUUCUAAACUAAAAAAAAGGAUCAGUAGCUAAAGUACUACUUAGUUACGUUUCACAAAAAUAUGUUACUGCAAAAUAAGAUAAUUAAUUUGGUGAAUAUCAAUGGUCAUAACAGUCCACAACAGUGAAUUAGAUAUUAGAUUUUUAUUUGUGCCUGAUAACAAAAGAGACAAGUUCUUGAUUCUUCAAGGUUAAUUAUUAUACUCAACAAUGUUUAUUUUGUUCUUAUUUAAUUAUUUAACUAAGAGCUAAUCAAUGAUUUGGGGUCACCUUCAUGUAAUAGAUGCCGUGGGAAAUGAAAGAAGCUUGAAUUAGGUUUUGAUCAAUUCAGAGUUUAACGAUGCUUCGAAUGGAUAUCUUAAAGGACACACGCGUGUUUUUAUAGCUGAAGUCUUUGCUAAGAAAGGAAUAAAGGCAAAGGAGAGUGCCUUUCAUGAUGAGAUUCACAACUGCUUCCAUUUAUAAGCAUGCAUGGAAGAUCGAGAACUCUUCAAAGUGCAGUCAAAGCGUUACGAAUCAGAAAUAUUCAUUGCUGGAGAUCAAAAUCUAGAUUUGAUGCUCAAGUCCAGACAUUCAGAGUUCAUAAAAUCUCGGUUCGAACUAUAAUCAAAGUUGUACAACUCUAAUAUAUAAUAGCCUAAAUCUAGACAUCUGUACCUGAACAGGACUAAUACUUAAGGUUGAUUUAUACAUGUGCGUUAUAUUUCUAAUGGUAAUGCGGAAGAAAUUAGAAUAGUACAACUUGUUAAAAAGGUGCAUCAUGUUAAAACCACUUCUUCAAAUGUAUAAUGUAAAUGAUUUGCUAAAAUUUGUUUGUUUCUCUGUUAAUAUAUAUAAACUAAAUGCCACAUUUGAAAGUUAAUGUUUUAAUAAUUUGUUAAGUGGAACCUCUUAGUAAUUAUGUACAACUGAAUGCGGAGACUUAAACUUUACCCUUGUUGAUUUUUUCAGGAAGAUAUACCUCUAUCCCAAGGGACAGAGAGAAGGACCUGGCAGUCAUAUUUCUAUGUACCUGGUAUUUGGCUGACUUCUCAACUAUAACUCGUGGUUUUUAAAAAUACCUUUGUUUCACACUGCAAAUCCAGGAUCAAGUGUAGUCAAAGCAUAAUCAUAAAACUUUACCCUUGUUAUUAUUAACCCAAACUUUAACAGGUAUUGAAGUUCAUCAAUAAGCGUAGUAGCUAAAUACAAAUAACUUCAGGUUUCUAUUGUUGUUCCUGCAGCCAGUACAUGGUUUAGGAACUCAAUCGAAGAUUGGGGCUGGCACUAAUUUGUUGAACUCAGUUACUUGAACAAGGCAAGCAAUGGUUUUCUUGUGAACGAUGUGUGCAAUGCUGAAGCAGAGGUGUCUGUGCUUAGAAUUUCCAAAGCCCUGUAAUAUACUCUAAUAAGCAUUGCUACUCUUGCAAGAAAAUUGGGAUGCCAAUUUUUUAAUUUUAUUUCUUAUAAUAAGAGUUAAUCUCAUCGUACCCAAAUAUUUUGACAAAGAAAUUCAAUUGUUGCCGCUCGAUAAUUGGUGGUUAAUUGGUUGUUAAGUCUCCAAACGGAGACUACAUGAGGAUGCCUUCUUAUGGGUUUAGCAUGCGAUAUCUUAUUCAUUGUUGCUUUUUUUUUCUCUCUGUAUUCUGCCAGUCGCAAUAGAUAAGGUACUAUAGACUUUUUUUAUCUUACGAGUGUCAAAUAAAAUGAAUUUAAAUCAAUAAGUAUUUACAGAACACUUAAGUGCUGCCCAACUAUAGUACUAAAUCGGGCUUAAAUUUUGGAAGCUAAUUAUAUUAGUUGAUAAUAGAAAAUAGACAACUAAAAUAUUGCUUCAGCUCAUCGAAAUACACGGUUUUUGAGUGGAGGGUCCAUAUUUUUGUUCAUUUGUACUGUAGUUGUUUUCUUGCCUCUUACCAUCCAUUCUUGCAACCAAGCAAAGAAAUCAAUAUUCCUUGACCAAACCAAACAAAUUAAAGAAUCAAUAUCCCUUUUCCCCAUUGCAUUCCCCUUUCCAUUCCAUUCUUGCAACCAUCAUUUUUCAAAACUUGGUGAAUACCAAUAGUCAUUCUGACUCUUUCUAGAAAUUUAAUGUUGAAUUAUAUAAACCCUCCACCUUGAUGCUUUAUAUGUACCACGGUCCCUUUUAGAUAUCUUAAAGAAGAAAUAUUACUCUUGAGAGAAUACCCUAGCCCUUGAAGAAUCUUAUUAUAAUCUAUCUUUCUUCAGUGCUAGUUUUAGUACUUGAAGAUUUAUAAUAGUUUGGAGGAAUUUGCUGCAAUGGAAAAUGACUUUGUAGACCAAGUUGGUAUAUUCUCUGACUCUUUCCCCACCUCCCCUUCUCUAUUUAUGUUUAUAUAUGUGCAUUGAAAAUUUCUAGCAUGUUAUUUUCUGAUCAAUGUUAAAAUUACUCUUGACAGCAAUUUCGAGAUCCAUUUCACAUGUACCACCGGCACAUUUCUUACUCAAAAUAGAGGCAUUUUCAUCUCUUGUGGAGAAUGACGUGGAAAAUUAUAAAUCCUUGGAAUUUGAUGCUGGAGGCUACAAGUGGUGUGGCCCAAAACCUAAUUGUACACUAUAUUCAGAUCACCUUAUUACUAAAUUACAUAUCAUAAUCUAAUAUGUUAUUUUGAAUUCAUGAUGGUUUCAGGAAACUUGUUGUCUACCCAAAUGGAAAUAAAAAUGAAAAUGUGAAAGACCACAUCUCAGUCUACUUGGCUAUGGUAGACACAAGUUCACUUGGCCAUGGUUGGGAAGUCUAUGUGAUUUUCCGCCUAUUUGUGCUUGAUCAGAAGAAAGACGAGUUCUUGAUUCUUCAAGGUUAGUUAUUACACUCAAACACUCAAUAAUGUUUAUGAUUGUUUUGUGCUUAAUUAUUUAAGUGAGACCUAAUCAAUGAUUUGGGCCGGUCACCUCCAUGUGAUAGAUGCCAUGGGUAAACAAAGACGUUUUCAUGGAUUAAAGCUUGAAUGGGGUUUUGAUCAAUUCAUCCCGCUUGAAGAAUUUAUUAAUGCUUCGAAUGGAUAUCUUGUGGGAGAUACGUGUGUUUUUGGAGCAGAAGUAUUUGUUAAAGAAACGAAAGAAUGCACAGGAGAGUGCCUUUCCAUGACGAAAUUGACAUCUGCUUCCAAUUAUAAGCAUGUUUGGAAGAUCGAGAACUUUUCAAAGUUAGAGGACAGGUUUUAUGAAUCAGAAGUAUUCGUUGCUGGAGAUCAAAAGUGGUAUGUAUACUUUUUGAAAUGGUGUUCAAAUCCGGACAUUCGGAGUUCAUAAAAAUCGAAUUUAAAAUAUGAUCAAAGUUCUACAUUUAAUAGCAAUUUAAAACUCUAAUAUAUCAUAGACUAAAUCUAGACCCGAGCAUGGCUAACACUUUAGGGUUCAUUUGUACGUCUGCAAUAGAUUUCUGAUGCAAAAGAAAUUCUUUUGAGUUUUGAAUAAUACAACUUGUUAAAAAGAUGCAUCAUGUUAAAACCACUUCUUCAAAUGUAUAAUGUAAAAUGAAUUGUUAAAAUUUGUUUGUUUCUCUAUUCACAUAUAUAAUCUAAAUCCCACAUCUAAAAGUUAAUGUAUUGAUAAUAUGUACAAUUGAAUGCAGAGACUUAUACUGUACCCUUGUUGAUUUUUUUUUAGGAAGAUAAUACUCCUUCCCAAAGGACUGGGAGAAGCUAAAGGCAGUCAUAUUUCUAUGUACUUGGAAUUGACUGACUCGUCAACUAUAACUGGUGGUUCUAAAAUAUACGUGCAUUUUACACUGCGAAUCCGGAAUCAAUUGCUGUCAAAGCAUUAUGAAAAAAAAGGUAAAUUAUUAUGAACCCAGACUUUAACAGGUAAUUCAGUUCGAUAAGUUUUGUAGCUAAAUGCAAAUAACUUAAGGUUUCUAUUUUCGUGUUCGCAGCUGGAGAAUGGUUAAAUACCUCAGACAAAUUUGGGGGUUGGACAAAAUUUGUUGAACUCAAUUACCUGAACAAGGCAGGAAGUGGUUUUCUUGUGAAUGAUGUGUGCAUUGUGGAAGCAGAGAUGCCUGUGCUUGGAAUUUCCAAAGCCCUGUAAUAUAUAUUCUAAUGAGCAUUGUGACUCUUGCAAGAAAAUUGGGAUGCCAAUUUUUAAUUUUAUAUCUUAUAAUAAGAGUUGAUCUCAUUGGACCCACCUCUUUUGGCAAAGAAAUUCAGUUGUUGACGCUCGAUAAUUGGUGGUUAAUUGGUUCUUAAGUCUCCACAUGGAGAUUCCAUGCAGCUGCCGUUUUAUGGGUUUAGAAUGUGAUAUCUAAUCCACUGUUGCUUUUGUCCUCUUUGUAUUUCGCUUUAUAGUCGCAACUAGUAAACCCGGUGGUAGACCCACACGUGGGUUAGACCGAACUGUGGCCUGGUCUAGUCCAGAAAAAAUCAUUUAUACCCCUUACUUUUUUAAUUAAUUUAGUAAAAUUAAAUCAUCCUAAAAUGUUGGCAUAUGCAUCUAAAUACUUUUCCAAGGAUGUUUUAAUAAAGUGUCAUUCAGGUAAAAUGUCUAAAUUGGAUGCAAUUGCAAUUGGCAACGAAUUUGCCAAAUUUAAGAAGAAAGAUGGGGUCCUCUAAAGCAGGAUUUGGGAGAUCUAAGGUAGGGGUUAGAGUAGAAGACCUAAUUUAGUGUCAGCCCAUUUUAAAAAUAAAAUCUUGGGUGUGUUUUACACAAUCUUGCACUUCAUUAUCAUCUAUGAAAGUAUGCCUUUAUAUAAAUAAGAGAAAAAAAACCUUAACUUUCAAAUCACAUAAAAAAAAAUAAAUAAAUACUUAAGUACUGCUCAACCACAAUACUUAAUUGAACCUAAAUUUUGCAAGUUAAUUAUAUAAUAUUUGGUAGUAGAAAACAAAACAACUAAGAUAUUGCUUCAACUCGAUGAAAUAUACAUUUUCUAGUGGAGGAUAUUUUUAUUCAUUUGCAUUAUAGUUGUUUUCUUUCCCCUUGCCAUUCCAUUUUUGUAACCAAACGAAAGAAUCAAUAUUCCUUGACCAAACCAAACAAAUUAAAGAAAUCAAUAUUCCUUUCCCCAUUCUAUUCCCCUUUUCUUUACCCUUAGCUUUCCAUUCCAUUAUUAUUCUCUAAUAAAAAUAAUUUUAAAUAAGUUAAAAUGCAAAUAAUUUAUAUUUAUUUUCUUAAAUUAAGAGGAUAAUUUAUUUAAAAAAAAGAAAAAGCACUAAGGUAAAUCGCCAGACCGUCACCGAAGACUCGCUGGAGAUGCAUUUCACUAUCAAAACCUGUACCAAUGGAAUCCUUGUGAGCCGAUCUACAACUCUAUGGAGUUAGAAAUGCUAAUAUACAUUGUUAUUUACCUCAAAUCUUGUUUAAAUAUUUGGGAAUAUUUUAACUCCCAUAUUUCCAACUAUAUAGUGUAUUUUCUUCAAAAUUAACACUUUCAAUGAGUAAAUCGUCCAUUUUUUUUUAUCAUUAUUAUGUAUUUAACACGAUAAAAGAUGGCGAUCAGCAUCGAUAACGCCGGUCAACGGCGGCAUAAUUUUAAUUUUAAAAAAUAAAAUUCUCUAUUUAACUAGGUAAUUUCAACCUGGAAGAGAUGUAGAGGGCUUUUUUUCUAUUAUUAAUAUUUUUUAAAUUUUAAAAAUGCCAUAAAAAAUACUAUGAAAUACAUUCAUCCAAUAUAACAACACAACUUAAGUACCUAAAUACCUAUUUUUUCCCUCUAUCUCUCUCUCAAUUUUUUGAUAUUUUUUCUUUUUUUUUAAAAAAAAGUUAGACUUUUUUAAUUUAAUUCCUUGCUCGUUAUAAUACGUAGAUAAAUUGCUUAAUUAUAGUUAGAUAGUCAUGGAAUAAUUAACAAAUUGUUGAAUCAUAAUAUGUAUAUUUUCGAUAAUAUUCGAGCAAUUAAAAAAAUUAAUUAAAUAAAACCAAACGUAGAUCGAGAAGGAAUAUGAGUAUCAUAAUUACGUAACCAUUGAGGUCGAGACUGGUUGUCACCUUGAGAAAAGGUCGCGCAACCAUAUGUAAUGGGUGUAGGCAGAGGCCGAGAGGCGUGCAUUUGGCCGUUCCAAUAUAAGGGCAUUUUAGACUUUUCAUGACAUGUUUUGUAUUCGGUGCAAAAUUUAAAUUCCUCAGAAUUUCCUCUUUAUAUACAUAUAGAAGCUCACAGAAUAAACAGUUGAACACUCAAGACCGAAGCGUGAUGGGCAACGAAGAUCGAACUUUCUGGCGGCUUGAAUCAAAGAAUCCAUAGAUUUUACUUGGGAGAAAAGAAACGUCAAAAUAUAAGAAAAAAAUAUACAAAAUAAAUAAACAUAAAACUAGAAAAAAGGCAAUGAUCGAACUUUCUUUUGGGGUCAAUGAUUCAUAGAAUUUCUUCUUGCUCUUCCCUUGUAUUCUCUCUUCUCACUACCUAUUUUACUGUUAUCUCUUCUAUUUCUCUUUCUUUAAAAACUUUUCAGCUGAAAUUUCUACCUUCUUAUGCCUCUUCAAUCGGAUUUUGAUUGAUCUUGUGGAGUUGAUUUUGUCAAAUCUAAAUUCAAUAUGUUGCAGCAAUGCAUCCUACGGUAUGGGAUUAUCUUAGACUAUGUGUCCACAAUAACAACGGCUUGUCUUUGCCUUCAUAUUAAUCAUCUCUUUGAAAAGUUACUUUGACGGUGGUUCAUAAAUUGUUAUUCAUUGUCUGAAUUUUCUGUGUGAGUGCCAUGCCGUUAGACCAUCUCUUAAAAUGGAAGUUUUCUUGCUAGACGCACCUAUUGUAUUCUGCUUGUUUACGUUUGAAUGUGCCCCAUCUUGGCUAUUCCAAUGAACUUAUUGCUUCCAAUCUAAUGAGCUCCAUUGAAGUUUAGUUAUACAGAGGUCAACAUAUGUGUUUGAAUACGGCUAUAACAAAGUACAAAUCAGUAUUUUAGCUGUGUUAAUUAUAUAAGAAUAUGAAGGGAAAAACUUUAGUUUAGUACAUCAACUAGUUCAUUGUGCAUCCUGUCACUUCUACUUCAGCUUGGAUGUAAACUGAUGUGAAUGGUUCACAUUGACUUGAUAUCAUGUGCAAUAUGAGAGACCACUGAGCUCUUCCUUGAAAGCAAUUAUUCAUUCCUAUCUGACUUAGAAUGGCCCUGUGCAUUUCAUAAUAAAAUCAGCUUCUAAAUCUGUGAUCUUAUGACAUAUUGUAUAGGCUAGGUUGCUGAAUUUUUUAUUUAACCAAUUAUGGAGCAAAGCCAAUCCUUAAAAAGAUUAAGAGAAGUUACUAUCAACUCAGUUGAUCGUUGAAUAUCUGCAAUUGCAACCUGCAUUCUCUCGCUCUAGAUUGGUGCAUAAUUUCUAUUGCAAAGUUUUGCAAACCUCCAACUAGUUUUGUCUAUGUGCCAAUUAUGGGAUUUGAAUCAACUUAUCUUUUAGAUUUGCUAUACCAAACUUUUAACAAAUUUUUUUUGCUGUUUCGGCAUUAUGUUGAACACUUGAUGUCAAAAUAACAUGUUUGCCAGCUUCUUGUAGUACCUGUAGGUGAAGCAGUCAGAGAGUCUCAUAUGUAUUCCUGUGAACUUAUUAUCCAAUCAAGCUACAAUGCUCGGAUACCAGAACAAAUUUCAUUAUUAUGAGCACAUUCUUAAAUUGCUGUCUCUCUUUGGGUGAUAUGAAGAUUUUGGAGAAGUACAAGCACUAACGUCCAAAGCUGGAGGUCAUAGCUGUACUCUUGUUUAGUUCAAAGAGACUGUUUUGAAAUGAUAGAUUGAAAGUUCUCUGUGCUUUUUUUUUUAAUGAGCCGUUGUAUUUUGAUGUUUAUUAGUAGGACGUUAUUAACUUCAUGAAAGUAAGUUACCAGGGCACAUAUCUUUGUUCCAGAAUCCUUCCGAUCUAGUUGUAAUUAUUCAUGAAACCCUCUGCAUAAAACGGAAAUCCUAAAUUAGUUAAUUGUUUCAAUACUUCGGACUUUGAAUUGAUUUAGUAUGCCUCAUGAAACCAAUAAUUGCACAUCCUCCACUCUGAGUCUCAGUGUGAUAUUGACCACAGCACUGCCUGAGCAUUGCAUUCUUCCCACUGGUUGGCUCAUUGGAUUCCAUUCUACUGUUUAACUACUGCUGUUAUGUCAGUUACUAGCUGGAAAAUACUGUUAUUUCUACAAUUGUUUUGAAUAAUGACAAAUUUAUUACUCCAACAACUUGGAACUGCCAAUGUUUUUUGAAGACUGGCCUUCAUUCUUCAUUGAUUUUUUCCACAGCCGAGUACGUGCUGCCUUUGAUGUUGCUCUCAAGUUUCACAGGAACAUACAAGAGUGGGACAUAGAAGUUGGUAGAAAUGUUGGUAACUGGAUUCUACGUUGGCUUGACCGACUGAAACCAUCUGCCCAGAUAUGUGGUCCCCCUGAGAAACUGUCACAUGGCCCCAGCAUGGGCAUGACCAACCAUGGAAUGAAGUCCUCGAAUCCAAAAACUCCUGGAAUCCAAACAUCUAGAAACAAGGAAUCUGAUAGAUAUCUGUUUAGCUCAUCAAAAAAUAUAUGGCUUAAACCACCCUCUUCUACCAUUGCCAUGAUGAUGCGGCAUCCAAGGCCUGCGGGAACCACAAUCCAGUAUAGGCAUCUUGAGACAAAUGGAUCUGAUCUGUUGAGUUUGAACUACAAUAGAAAUGGGUUUGAUGGAGUCCUGCGAAAGGACAUUAUGCAGUGGUUGCUGCAAAAGUGAAGGUAGAAGCUUAUCAAACACCUGCUACUUUCUGAAGUUUUAAUCGUCAAUAAUUCAGUUAUAAUAUCUCACUCAAACCGCUUGCAUUAUUGGACUCCUAAAUUUGAAAUUCAUCCAUGCGAGUUAUGGACCUGUUACUUGAUGCACUAAUUACUGAAGGGCUGCGUGCUGCGAAAGCUGGCAAGGAUAGGUUUUAGUUGUUCUGCUUCUUUACUCAAAGAUAGUAAUUGUUCUCUCCGUUUUCAGUGACUCUAGGGUUUUUGUUUCCGAAGCAGUAACUGCAUAGUUGCUUCUGGUAAUGUUUCUUUGUUUCUUUGUUUGUGACGCACAUUCCUCUAGAUUGGAAACGGCUGUGGUGAUGGUGAUCAUCUUUCUCUGUACUUGGCUUUGGUAGAUUCCACAGUCGAGGUGAUUAAAGAAUAUAUAUGCAGAGCAUACAUUGCGAAUCAUAGAUCAAUUGGGGGCAAAACAUAAAUCUUUUCGAGGUAAAAUGUGUGUUUACAUGCAAUUAGUAUUUGAGGCAAAUCCUAAUAAUAUAACGAGAGUGUUCCUUUUACUCUAGCAGAGAAUAAAGACUGGUUCCAUACACCAAGCGAUAACUGGGGCCGGCCAAGAUUCAUUUCAUUGUGUGAGUUAGAUGAGCUAGAGACUGGAUUUCUAGUGAAUGGCGUUUGCGUGGUGGAAGGCUGGAAGUGGAAGCUGAGGUCACUGUGCUUGUAAUUUCCGAGCCAUUAUAACAAGUAAUUAAUUGUCCUCCAAAUGGGUUCUUUUAUUGGGUGAUGCUGACUGCCUGGGUAAUCUAGGAAAUUUAUUUUAGCUAUCAGGAAAUUUAUUUUAGCUAUCAGGAAAUUUAUCUCUCUUGUGGUUUUCCAAAAUAACUCUUACGUUGUUUAUUGUUUAUGCUGUCCAGCUAACUUUUUAGUGUGAUUUUGGUUUUCUAUUUCUCUGCAUCUCUUUAAGGAGAAGUUCAUUAUAUCCCCUACGCUGUAAUGCUUCUCUUCUAAGAUUUUGAUUUUAAAAAAAUAAGAAAAAAAAAAUGUAGCUGAAACGAAGAAAAUUAGGAUGCAAGAGAACUAAUAAUUUCACUUAGGUGGCGUUUGUUUUUCAACUUAAUGAUUUAAAAUGACUUAACUUAAUUAAUUAAGUUAAUUAGAGGUGUUUGUUUUUAUAACUUAAUGAGACUUUUUAGAUAAUUUUGACUUAAUAAAAUAAGCCAAUUUUUUUGGCUUUUUACUUAAUGGAGAAAUCUGAAUUAAGUCAAUUACUUGCUAAUGUCAAAACUAUCCAUGUUUUAUAAUUUAUUUUUCAUGUCUAUCCCAAAACUCACCUAUAGACAUUUACCCCACAUUAAAAUAUCUCUAUUUUUUCUUUCUUAUAUUAUAUACGAUAAAAUUUAAAAUUUAUGGUAUUUUAUUUAUUAAAAUUCUAAAAUAAUUAUGUAUUCACUUGAAUAUAGUUUUACUUAUAAAUGUUAAAAUAUUGUGGUAUUUAAUAUAUUAUUUAUUUGACAUUUAAAUUUAAUAAUGAUACAAAUGUAAAAGUACAUAUUUUCAGCUUUUUAAGUUGAAAAAAACAAACAACUUAAUACUUAUUUUCUAAGAUUCAGACAAAAAAAUAAACAUAUUAUUCAGAUUCAGACAUUCAGAUCUAUUCAGAAUUCAAAUUAAUUUAGGUCUAUUCAGAUGUCAGAUAAAAAAACAAACGCCGCCUUAGUAAGAAAAUGAAAACAAAGUAGAAUAGAAUCAAGAUCAAAUCAAAAUCCUAUCAUACAACGUGAUAAAAUCACUAAAUUUUCUAAUUAUACUAGCUCAAAAUCACUAAAUUCUCUAAUUAUGCUGCCACUAUAUUUCAUAAAAAAAAUCCAAUUACCAACGUGAUAUUUUAUCUAUAAAGAUAAAUAAUACUCAUCAAUUUAUGGAUAUAGCCAAAGUGCCAAACUGCCAACCAUUUUGUUAAUAAUCCAGGGAAGCAAGAAAAUAAGGCUUUUUGCGGUUGAUUAAAGUCCCCGCAAACAAACAAUAUUUACUAGUAGUGGCGUGGAUAAUGCUAAUUAAUUACUAAAUUAAUUAUACUAGCAAUACUACCUUAGGAUAUUUUGUUAAAUUCUCUAGUAAUACUACCUUAGGAUCACUAAAUUUUCUAAUUAUACUAGCUCAGAAUCACUUAAUUCUCUAAUUAUGCUAACACUAUAUUUCAUAAAAGUUCAUAUUAUCGAUGUGAUAUUAUUUCUAUAAAGAUAAAUUAAUAUUUAUUAAUUAAUGGAUAUAGCCAAAGUGCCAACCAUUUUGCUAAUAAUCCAGGGAAGCAAUUGAUCCACUACAAACCAUAUUUACUAGUAGUGGCGUUGAUAAUGCUAAUUAAUUACUAGUUCUAUUUCUACAAUGAGCUAUUUUGAAUUGCAGAACUCUAGUUUCUCAAGUUACGUCAGUCAAAUUUCCUCGCGAAAUCAUCAAAUCUCACAAAAAACCUCUGUUCUUGGACUGAGGCAAUGGCGUUUCCUGUGUAUAGUAGGAGCUUUAGUUUUUUAUUUGAAAGAAAUAAUGAAGAAAAAACAUGUCCUUAUCAGUACCACCAACUCAAUUUGCAAAUAAAAAAAAACGAAAAAAAAUUAAUCGAAAACAGAGCAAGCCAAUAUGAAUUCUUUUCAUCUCAGCCUGCUCAAAAACAGAGCAAGAUAAAGCUUAAAUAAUAAUGUGAAAGCUCAAAAACAGAGCAAGAUGAAUCUUUUCAAUAAUGUGAAAGUAAAUAAAACAAUAAGGUGAAGAGUUAUGAAUUUUGCCUAAUGCUUGCGUAAACAAUCACGACCGAGGAAAACUUUCCAGAAAUAAGAACAGAAAUUUUAAUGCAACCUACAAUGAGAUGAUAGAACAAGUUGUCAUUCACAUAUUGCUUAUUCAUCAAUCUUUUCAGCUUUGGUUAAAGUCGGGAGGUAACACUCAAUUUAUGCAGGAACCAACAAACAAAAGAUGCAUUUUUUGGGAAGUAUGAAGACAAUUGAACCAGCAAGCGUGAAGCGCCCCCACCCCCAAAAAAAAAAAGAAGAAGAGAAUUGGUGACCCAGGUCAUAUGACUGUAGUAUGCUCGGUAGUAUCAUUUUUUAUAAAUUUCUGAGACUUUGUUUUGGGGUUGUGGUUAUAAGCUUUCGGGUCCCACGUCACAUGAUUUUCGGCCAAGCAGAAUUUAGUUUCCCUCCCUUUUGUCAGUCAAUUUGUUUCAGAAAUUUUGAUGGUGAUCAAAUCAAAAUUGAUGCUUCUAUUCAUGUAUCAGUGCAAUAAGUGAGCUAGUGAUAAUCGUGGCUCUGUUUUGGACUUCAAUACCUUUGAAGAGCUAGCUAGCGGUCUUGUAGUUGUUUAACAUUAUAUGCGAGGGAGGAAGGUUAUGUUCUUUUGUGGUAUCACUGCUCCAUUAACACUUUGCCCAUGUUUGAGUAUCAUAUUGGCAUUUUUACGUUGAUUAACUAAUUAACAUAAUUAUAUAUCAUCUAAGCUGCUAUACAAAACGCUAUGGUUGGAUCUAAUUAGGAUUCAAUAAUAUCGUAUUUUUCAAUAUUUGAUAGUAAAUUGCAAUGAUAAUACUAAAUCGAGCCUAAAUUUUGGAAGCUAAUUUUAUAAUAUUUGAUAAUAGAAAAUAGAACAACUAAAAUAUUGCUUCAGCUCGUUGAAAUACACAUUUUUUUAGUGGAGGGUACAUAUUCUUGUUCAUUUGUAUUGUAGCUGUUUUCUUGCCCCUUACCAUCCAUUCUUGCAACCAAGCAAAGAAAUCAAUAUUCCUUGACCAAACCAAACAAAUUAAAGAAUCAAUAUCCCUUCUCCCCAUUGCAUUCCUCUUUCCAUUCCAUUCUUACGACUAUCAGUUUCCAAAACUUGGCGAAUAUCAAUUGUUAUUCUAACUCUUUCUGAAAAUUUAAUGUUGAAUUGUAUAAACCCUCAACCUUGGUGCUUUAUAUAUACCAUGGUCCCCUUUAAAUAUUUUAAAGAACAACUACUACUCUUGGGAUAAUACUCUAACCCUUGAAAAAAUCUUAUUAUAAUCGAAUCGUUCUUCAGUACUAGUUUUAGUACCUGAAGAAUUGCAGUAGUUUGGAGGAAUUCGUUGCAAUGGAAAAUGACUUCGUAGACCAAGUUGGUAUGUUCUCUAGCUCUUUCCCCAGCUCCCCUUCUCUAUGUAUAUUUAUAUAUGUGGAUCGAACAUUUCUAGCCUGUUAUUUUCUGAUCAGUGUUAAAAUUACUCUUGACAGCAAUUUCAAGAUCCAUUUCACAUGUACCGCCGGCACAUUUCUUACUCAAAAUAGAGGCAUUUUCAUCUCUUGUGGAGAAUGAUGUGGAAAAUUAUGAAUCUUUGGAAUUUGAUGCUGGAGGCUACAAGUGGUGUGGCCCAAAACCCAAUUAUACACUAUAUUCAGAUCACCUUAUUACUAAAUUACAUAUCAUAAUCUAAUAUGUUAUUUUGAAUUCAUGAUGGUUUCAGGAAACUUGUUGUCCACCCAAAUGGAAAUAAAAAUAAAAAUGUGAAAGACCACAUCUCAGUCUACUUGGCUAUGGUAAACACAAGUUCACUUGGCCUUGGUUGGGAAGUCGAUGUGAUUUUCCGCCUAUUUGUGCUUGAUCAAAACAAAGACGAGUUCUUGAUUCUUCAAGGUUGACUAUUACACUCAACAAUGUUUACGAUUGUUUUGUUCUUAUUUAUUUAAGUGAGACCUAAUCAAUUAUUUGGGCCGGGUCACCUUCAUGUGAUAGAUGGCAUGGGAAAAGAAAGACGCUUUCAUAGAUUGAAGCUUGAAUGGGGUUUUGAUCAAUUCAUUCCGCUUGAAGAAUUUAACGAUGCUUCGAAUGGAUAUCUUGUGGGAGAUACAUGUGUGUUUGGGGCAGAAUUAUCGGUUAAAGAAAGGAACAAAUGCAAAGGGGAGUGCCUUUCCAUGACGAAAUUGACAUCUGCUUCCAAUUAUAAGCAUGUUUGGAAGAUCGAGAACUUUUCAAAGUUAGAGGCAAAGCUUUACGAAUCAGAAGUAUUCGUUGCUGGAAAUCAAAAGUGGUAUGUAUAUAUAUCAUAGACUAAGUCUAGACUUAAGCAUGACUAAUACUUAGGAUUCAUUUGUACAUGUGCAAUAUUUUUAUGAGUUUUGAAUAAUACAACUUGUUAAAAAGAUGCAUCAUGUUAAAAUCACUUCUUCGAAUGUAUAAUGUAAAAUGAAUUGUUAAAACUUAUUUGUUUCCCUAUUCAUAAAUAUAAUCUAAAUGCCACAUCUGAAAGUUAAUGUUUAAUUGAAUCCAGAGACUUAAACUUUACCCUUGUUGAUUUUUCUCAGGAAGAUAAAACUCUAUCCCAAAGGACAGGGAGAAGGUAGGGGUAGUCAUAUUUCUAUGUACUUGGAAUUGGAUGACUCGUCAACUAUAACUCAUGGCUCUAAAAUAUACGUGCAUUUUACCCUGCGAAUCCGGGAUCAAGUGUUGUCCAAGCAUCAUGAAAAAAAAAGUAAAUUAUUAUAAACCCAAACUUUAAUAGGUAAUACAGUUCAAUAUGCUUUGUAGCUAAAUACAAAUAACUUCAGGUUUCUAUUGUCGUUUUUGCAGAUAGUAACUGGUUCACUACCUCAGAUAAAGCUUGGGGUAGGACAAAAUUUGUUGAACUCAGUUACUUUAACAAGGCAGAAAAUGGUUUUCUUGUGAAUGAUGUGUGCAUUGUGGAAGCAGAGGUGCCUGUGCUAGGAAUUUCCAAAGCCCUGUAAUGAAUAACUAAUAAGCAUUGUUACUCUUGCAAGAAAAUUGGGAUGCCAAUUUUUAAUUUUAUUUCUUAUAAUAAGAGUUAAUCUCAUUGUACCCAUACCUUUUGUCAAAGAAAUCCAGUUGCUGACACUCGAUAAUAUUGGUUGCUAAGCCUCUACAUGGAGAUUACAUGGGGAUGCCUUCUUAUGGGUUUAGCAUGUGAUAUCUAAUCCACUGUUGCUUUUGUCCUGUUUGUAUUUUGCUUUAUAGUCACAAUAUGUAAGCUUGACUAUGUCCUUGGUAUUACAGGCUUUUUAUUAUAUAAAUGUGAAAUAAAAUCAACUUAAUUUUCAAAUAACAUCAAAAAAUAUUUAUCAAUCACUAAAGUACUACUUAACCACAAUACUAAAUUGGGCCUAAAUUUUGGAAGUUAAUUAUAUAAUAUUUGAUAAUAGAAAACAGAACAACUAAAAUAUUGCUUCAACUCGUUGAGAUAUAUGUUUUCUAGUGGAGGAUAUUUUUGUUCAUUUGUAUUAUAGUUGUUUUCUUUCCCUUACCAUUCCAUUCUUGUAACCAAACGAAAGAAUCAAUAUUUCUUGACCAAACCAAACGAAUUAAAGAAAUCAAUAUUCAUUUCCUUAUUCUAUUCCCCUUUCCUUUACCCUUAGCUUUCCAUUCCAUUCUUGCAACCAUCAGUUUCCAAAAUUUGGUGGAUAUCAGUAGUCAUUCUGACUCUUUCUAAAAAUUUAUUCUUGAAUUGUUUAUGGUUAUUGACGCCAACAAAAAUAAAUACCUACUCUAAAUAAAUUGUGUAUAGUGAUUGAGCAGGGUCGUGUCCACAGAGAUCGGUAAUUAUUUAAAUCCUUUUGAAACGUAAAACGUAAAAUGGGGGAAUUGUUGACAAUAAUAAAAAUCAAAUUAAAAUAACAAGAAUGCAAAUUAAAGUUGUAAUUCAAAUUGGAGAAAACUCUGGUUGAAGGAAUUAACUCAGCUUAAUUCGACUACUGAUCAUUGAUUCAAAUAUAAAUUAUUAUUACUUAUGAAUAGACCGGUUAUAACUACUGAGACCCUCUAAUAAUCAAUCUCUCCUUAACUAGUCGAUAACCAAGGUACGACCGUUGGUUAUUUCCCUAAUCAAUAGACAACCCUAGAUACGAUCAUAUGAUUUAAUCAAUUGACAGCCUGAAAAACCAGAGAGACCCAAAUCCUAAUCAACAAACACAUACGAUGGUUCAUUUAAAUUAGAUUGUUUAAUCUCACAACACAACUCUCUGCUAUGUUAUUUGUCACAAACAUUAAAAUCUUCAUACGAUGAAUCCUUUAAUUGACAAUAGAUUAAGUUGAUAAUUAAAUAGUGGCCAAUUACCUAAUUAACAAACAUAAUCAUGAAAAUAAUUCAGAGAAUAAACAAAUACCCAAAAAGCAAUAAAAAAAUUAAAGCAUAAGAAAGAUCUCACAGUAGUGAUGAAUCAAAGCUUCAUUAACCUUCAACCAGAAUAAUAGGUUUAGUUCUUCAUAGAGAGAAGAGAAAAAUUUAGAUCUAGGGUUUCUUUCUUUUCUCCAAUCCAAUCCCCCUUUUCACAAUAGAUUCCUCCCUUCAAUACUCUCUCUCUCUUCUCUUUUAGAGUUCUAUUUAAAAUAAAAUACUAAUAUCUGAAAUAUUAAAUUCGUAAUUACAAAAAUAACCAAAAAUACAAAACACAUUAUUCGGAAUUUGGUUAUUGAUGCUUGCUAAAUAUCUAAUGUAUGAAAGCAGAGGAGAGUAAUGGAGUUUUGUUGUGGCUAGGAAUUGAUUUCUUGGAGUAAUAAUGUGGCUUACCACUAGCUUGGCUAGACAGAGAACGGCUUAUUAGCAAAGGCAACGGACAGAAGGAACCAAAAUUUUAGGUUUUCUAAGAAUAGGGAGAGGGUGAAACAAGUAAACUUACAAAUUUAUAACAGAUCCUGAAAACCUAAUUUCAAAUUUUUAUCCAGAUGUCAGUGUUGUUGUCUACUCAUAUUAUAUAUUUUUUAGCAGUCCAACAUAACGAUUUUUAGUAAUUUUUAUACUCAACUAAAAAUUAUGAAAUUAAACAUACAUUAAGUAGACAUAAUAAGGAAAAUUGGCGAAGUCAGACAUGCUGCUGAAAAUCAGAAUUUUCCAACACAAUUGUUCUAAUUUCGAAAAUUCACAACAAAUUGAUUACUUGGAAUCUCUUUGCACAAAAUACAUCAUUGAAAACCUUGAGAUGUCUACUUUAAUUUUAUGGUGCAGAAAUUAAAUCAAAAAUAAAGGAAAAAUAGUAACCAAAUCACAAUGCUCAUGCCUCAUAAUGCCUGACUGGUCAUUCAUGAUAAAAAGAACAAUACAUGCAUUCAUCAUCAAAUACAUAAGAUCGUAUUAGAGAGCAUGAAUUAAAGAAGGAUAAAUACCUCAAAACUUCUUUCAAAUAUGCAUAAAAGAAGACCUUGGAAUUCAUUUUUUUUAAUACAUUUUUAUUUGGUUGAAGAAUUUUAAAUCAUAUGGAGAUAGGAAGAGUUUAAGUUUUAUAAAAACAAAUGCUUUUAUAAAAAUACAUUAUACGAUAGAUAGAUAAUCCCUCAUAAUUUAUUUUUAAAAAAUAAAUAAAAAGAAUUAUACCUUAUCUCAAAUAAUGCUAAUUAAAAUAAAUUUGCAACAAAAGAUAAACAAUUAAAUAGAUAAGCAUAAUUAAAUUCAAACAAAUAAUUAGAGAUGGGUGUUACAUUGGGAGUGGCCAAAAUUUGUUAAACUCGGUUACUUGAACAAUGCUAACAAUGGUUUUCUUGUGAAUGAUGUGUACAUUGUGGAAACAGGGGUGCCUGUGCUCGGAACUUCCAAAGCCCUGUAAUAUAUACUCUAAUUAGUAUUGUUACUCUUGCAAGAAAAUUGGAAUGCCUUAAUUUUAUUUCUUAUAAUAAGAGUUAAUCUCAUUGUACCCAUAUAUUCUGGUAAAGAAAUUCUUAUGCUGACAUUCAAUAAUUGGCGGUUAAUUGUUUGUUAAGUCUCCACAUGGAGAUUAGAUGGGAUGCCUUCUUAUGGAUUAAGCCUCUGAUAUCUAAUUCAUUGCUGUAUUUCUCUCUCUAUAUUUUGCCUUAUAGUUGCGCUAGGUAACGUAUUAUAGGUUUUUUAUCUUACAAGUGUAAAAUAAAGUUAAUCUAUCUUUCAAAUCACAUCAAUAAAUGUUUACUAAAUACUUAAGUGCUGCUUAACCACAAUAGCAAAUCGGGCCAAAAUUUGGAAAUUAAUUAUAUAACAUUUGAUAAUAAAAAAUAUAACAAUUAAAAUAUUGAUUCAACUCGUUGAUAUAUACAUUUUUUUGAUUGGAGGGUAUUUUUGUUCACUUGUAUUGUAGUUGUUUUCUUUCCCAUUACCAUUCCAUUCUUACAACCAAGCAAAGAAAUCAAUAUUCCAUAACCAAACCAAACAAAUUAAAGAAAUCAAUAUUCCUUUACCCUUUCCAUUCCAUUCUUGCAACUAUCAGUUUCCAAAUUUUGGUGAAUGUCAAUAGUCAUUCUGACACUUUCUGAAAAUUUAAUGUUACUAUUCCAUUCUUGCAACUAUCAAUUUCCAAAUUUUGGUGAAUGUCAAUAGUCAUUCUGAUACUUUCUGAAAAUUUACCCUUUCAAUUCCAUUCUUGUAACUAUCAGUUUCCAAAUUUUGGUGAAUGUCAAUAGUCAUUUUGACACUUUCUUUCCCAUUACCAUUACAUUCUUGCAACCAAACAAAGAAAUCAAUAUUCCUUAACCAAACCAAACAAAUUAAAGAAAUCAAUAUUCCUUUACCCUUUCCAUUCCAUUCUUGCAACUAUCAGUUUCCAAAUUUUGGUGAAUGUCAAUAGUCAUUCUGACACUUUUUGAAAAUUUAAUGUUACCAUUCCAUUCUUGCAACUAUCAAUUUCCAAAUUUUGGUGAAUAUCAAUAGUCAUUCUGAUACUUUCUGAAAAUUUACCCUUUCCAUUCCAUUCUUGUAACUAUCAGUUUCCAAAUUUUGGUGAAUGUCAAUAGUCAUUUUGACACUUUCUUUCCCAUUACCAUUCCAUUCUUGCAACCAAACAAAGAAAUCAAUAUUCCUUAACCAAACCAAACAAAUUAAAGAAAUCAAUAUUCCUUUUACCCUUUCCAUUCCAUUCUUGCAACUAUCAGUUUCUAAAUUUUGGUGAAUGUCAAUAGUCAUUCUGACACUUUCUGAAAAUUUAAUGUUGAAUUGUAUAAACCCUCAACCUUGAUGCUUUAUAUAUACCAUGGUCCUUUUUAGAUAUUUUAAAGAAGAAAGGUUACUCUUGAGAUAACUCUAACCCUUAAAAAAUCUUAUUAUAAUCAAUCUUUCUUCUAUACUCUUUUUAGUACUUGAAGAGUUAUAGUAGUUUGAAGGAAUUUGUUGCAAUGGAAAAUCAAGUUGGUACGUUAUCAGGCUCUUUCCCCAGCUCCCUUUCUCUAUGUAUGUUUAUAUAUGUAAAUCGAACACUUUUAGCUUGUUAUUUUCUUAUCAGUGUUAAAAUGACUCUUGACAGCAGUUUCAAUAUCCAUUUCACAUGUACCACCGGCUCAUUUCCUACUCAAAAUACAAACAUUUUCGUCCCUUCUGGAAAAUAAUGUGGAAAGUUAUGAAUCUUCGGAAUUUAAUGUUGGAAGCCACAAAUGGUAUGGCCUAAAACUUAGUACACUAAUAUUAAGAUUACCUUAUUACUUAAUUAUAUAUCAUAAUCUAAUAUGUUAUUUAAUUCAUGAUGGUUUCAGGAAACUUGUUGUGUACCCAAAUGGAAAUAAAAAAAAAAAGGUGAAAGAUCACAUCUCACUCUACUUGGCAAUGGCAGACUCAAGUUCUUUUGGUUUCGGUUGGGAAGUCUUUGUGAUUUUUCGCCUGUUUGUGCAUGAUCAGAACGAAGACACGUACUUGAUUCCUCAAGGUUGAUUAUUAAACUCAAGAAUAUUUAUGAUCAUUUUGUUCUUAAUUAUUUAACUGAGAGCUAAUCAAUGAUUUGACGUUACUUCAUCAUGUGGUAGAUGCAAUGGGAAAUGAAAGACGUUUUCAUGGGUUGAAGCUUGAAUGGGGUUUUGAUCAAUUCAUCCCGCUUAAAGAAUUUAACGAUGCUUCAAAUGGAUAUCUUGUGGGAGAUACAUGUGUUUUUGGAGCAGAAGUCUUUGUUAAAGAAAGGAACAUAGUCAAAGGAGAGUGCCUUUCCAUGAAGAAAUUCACAUCUGCUUCCCCUGAUAAGUAUGUUUGGAAGAUCAAGAACUUUUCAAACUUGGAGGCAAAGCGUUACGAAUCAGAAGUAUUCGUUGCUGGAGAUCAAAAGUGGUACUUAUACUUUCUGAAUUGCUGUUCAAGUACAGACGUUCGAGAGUUUUUAAAAUUCGGAUUUGAACUAUGACAAGUUGUACUUUUAACAACGAUUUACAACUCUAAUGUAUCAUAGACUAAAUCUAGACAUUUGUACCUGAGCAUGACUAAUACUUAGGGUUCAUUUGUACAUGCGCGAUAUAUUUCUGAUGCCGAUGCAAAAGAAAUUCUUUUGAGUAGUUUUGAAUAAUACAACUAGUUAAAAUAAUGCAUCAUGUUAAAACCACUUCUUCAAAUGUGUAAUGUAAAAUGAUUUGCACAAAUUUUUUUAUUUAUCUAUUCAUAUAUAUAAUCUAAGCAUCACAUCUGAAAGUUAAUGUUUUGAUAAUUUGUUAAAUGGAACCUCUUAGUAAAUAUGUACAAUUGAAUGCCGAGACUUAAACUUUACCCUUCUUGAUUUUUUCAGGAAGAUACAACUCUAUCCCAAGGGACACGGAGUAGCUAGUGGCAGUCAUAUUUCUAUGUACUUGGCAUUGGCUGACUCCUCAACUAUAACUCGUGGUUUUAAAAUAUACGUGCACUUCACACUGCGAAUCCGGAAUCAAGUGCGGGGAAAGCAUAAAGAAGCAAAAGGUAAUUAAAUAAAAAAAUUAUUAUCCCAAACUUAUUUCACAGGUGCAUGAAUUAAUGCAAUAAUAGUACUGCAACUAUAAGCUUUAUAGCUAAAUACAAAUAACUUGAGGCUUUCUUUAUUGUUGUUUCACGCAGCAAGUAUAUGGUUCAGUUACUUAAACGAGGCAGGCAAUGGUUUUCUUGUGAAUGAUGUGUGCAUUGUGGAAGCAGAGGUUUCUGUUCUUGGAAUUUCAAAAGCAUUGUGAUAAUUUAAAUUCUCGUUGUUGUUAUGAGAUAUACCUAUUCAUCUCUUGGUAAAAAGAAUGUGUAUUUUACACUAAUAACUUUAGGAAGUGAGUUGCAAAAGCAGCUCCAUGAUUUAUGAUGUAUGUGUGUAUCAUCAUACUCCUUGAAAUAUAAUAUACAUAACACCUUAAGAAUAAAAAAAACAUGUUGCUAAAUGCACGACCGAAUAUAUAUGCUUUAUUGGCUAUAAAUACCCAUCAAUCAAAUAUUUCAAGAGAUUGAGAAAUGAAACAGUGAACACGCGAAGAAGUUCUGCUAAUUAUUCUACCAUUGACUUAUUAUUAUUUUGCUCCUUUUAACUUCAUGCCAUUUUUAUUGUUUGACAUAUUUGUACCCCUUUUUUAUUCAAGUAAAGAGGUGUAUUUAAAAGAUCUCUUUCACUAAAACAGUGGCAUUAUAAAAAUUAAAAAACAGAGAACCCAACAGUUGAGAUGAGGCCGGGAGACCUCAAAGAGAUGUAGAGUUUUUUUUUUUUUUUUUUUUUUUUUUUUUUUUUUUUUAAUUUUAAAUAUGCCGUAAAAAUGGCCAAUUUCCAGAACUACGCCUGCUUUCGGCUUUAUUCACUUAUAUGAGAUUACGACCGAGUGAAUUGCACAAAGACUAUAAAAUACAUUCAUUCAAUAUAGCAACACAAGUUCAAUACCUAAAAAACCUAUUUUGCCUCUCUCUCUCCAAUUUUUUUUUUUUUUUAAAGUGAUAGGCUUUCUUUAGUUUAAUUUUUCGUUCGUUAUAAUGCAUAGCAUAGAUAAAUUACUUAAGUACAAUUAGAUAAUUAUGGAAUAAUUAACAAAUAAUAUUAUCAUAAUUAAUUCAUUUUCGAUAAUAUUCGAGUAAUUAAAAAAUUAAAUAUAGAUCGAAUAUGAAAAUGAGUCUCACAAUUAUGUAACUAUUGGUUAAAAUAAAGUCGAGUAUGGUUGUCAACUAAAAAAAGGUCGGGCAGCUAACUAAUGGGUGUGGGUGGAGUGUGUCAUUCUAAUGGAAGGGCUUUCUAGACUUUUCCUCACAUAUUUGUCAUGUUUAUGGAAAUUUUAUUUUCAUUGAUUGCAAAAUCCUCAAAAAUUCCUCUUUAUAUACAUAUGAAGUCCGGAGACAAUAAACGGAUAAACACUCUUUAAGGCCGAAGCGUGAUGGGUAACCAAGAUCGAAAUUUCUGGCGGCUCGAAUCAAGGGAUCCAUAGAUACUUGGGAGAAAAGAAACAUCAAAAUAUAAAAAAUAUCCAAAAAUAAAUAAACAUAAAACAAAAAAAAAAGUGCAUAAAUACACGAACAAUACAGAGAGAGAGAGAGAGAGUUCUAGAAAGAGAGACAAUGGUGCUAUGGGAGAUCACAUUGGGAACAGCGUAUUUCUUGGGGAUGAAGCGGACGUACAGGCUUGCUUUGAGGAUUCAGGGCCGCGUUAUCAGCCCUAAGCACCCCCGGAUUCGUCAAUUUGUUCACCGGUAUAUUUGUGUUACUGUUGUUGUUAUUAUUAUUUGAUUAUUUCAUUUUGUUUGGAGUUUGAUUUUGAUUAAUUUGUAGCUUGAUGGGUUAGCAGUCAAUAGGUUUAUUAGCAGAUGGGUUUAAUUAAGCUAGGUGGUUUCAAGUGUUAAUUUUCAGUAAUGGGUUCUGUAGCUAUGUUCAUUACGGCAAUAAGAGCUGUUGAUUUUGGAGUCAAAAGAGGUUUAUGAUGAUGAUGGUGGUAUUCGUGGUGUUGAUAAUGAUAUGUAUUAUACUGAUAUGGGAUAUAUUAACAAUACAUUGCAAUGCAAUGUUCUUGUGUUUCACAAUUUUAUGAUAUUUUUCAAAAUUGAUCUUGGUAAUUUGAUAUAGUAGUGUGUGUUAUUUUGAAUUUGGUUGUUGAUGCUUGCUAAAGAUCUAAUGUAACAAAGCUGGGGAGAGUAAUGGAGUGUUUUGUGGCUAGGAAUUGAUUUCUUGCAGAGCUAAUGUGGCUUAAUAGCGGCUAGACAGAGAACUGCUUAUUAGCAAAGGCAACGGACAGAAGGAUCCAAAAUUUUAGGUUUUCUAAGAAUAGGGGGAGAGGGUGAAGCAAAUAAAAAUUACAAAUUUGUAAAAGAUCCUGAAAACCUAAUUUCAAAAGUUUAUCCAGAUAUGAGUCUUGUCGUCUACUUAUGUUAUAUAUUGCAGUGAAAGUAAACCAUGUUUACCUUACAGAAACUAUUUUUGUGUGAACUUAACUAUGGAGUAACUAUAUAGGAAGCAACAGACAUGAGCUAUUCUUGUAGCAUCUCCUAAUUACUUAUAUAUUUCCUUAGGAAGUACUCCUAUGCCAUCAAAAACCAUAAAAGCGUGUGUUCUUUAGGGAGGUAUUGUAUGGAUUUUGGUUUUCUUUUGGGGUCAAAGAUUCAUAGAAUUUCUCCUUGCUCUUCCCUUGUAUUCUCUCUUCUCACUACCUAUGGUACGAUUCUUUCUUCUAUUUCCAUUUCUUCAAAAAAAAUUUAGCUGAAAUUUCUACCUUCUAAUGCCUCUUCAAUGGGAUUUUGAUGGAUUAUGUGGAGUUGACUGCGUCGAAUCUGAAUUCUAUAUGUUGCAGCAGUGCAUCCUGCGGAAUGGGAUUAUCUUAGGAUAUGUGUCCACGAUUAUGACGGCUUGUAUUUGCCUAUGUGUUAUUAUCUCUUUGAAAAGUCCACAAUUAUGAUGGCUUGUCUUUGGCUAUGUAUUAAUCAUCUCUUUGAAAAGUUACUUUGAUGGUGGUUCAUAACUUGCUAUUCAUGGUCUGAAUUUUCUGUCUGAGUGCCAUGCCACUAGACCAUCUCUUAAAAUGGAAGUUUUCUUGUUAGAUGCACCUGUUGUACUCUACUUGUCUACUUUUGAGUGUGCCCCAUCUUGGCUAAUCCGAUGAACUUAUUGCUUCCAAUCUUAUGAGCUCCAUUGAAGUUUAGUUGUACAGAGGCCAAAUAUGUGCUUGAAUACAACUAUAACACAGUACCAAUCUGUAUUUUAUUUGCGUUAAAUAUAUAAGAAUAUGGAAGGAAAAACUUUUAAGAAUAGUACUUCAACUAGUUCAUCGUGCAUCCUGACAUUUCUACUUCAGCUUGGUUGUAAGCUGAUGUGAAUGGUUCACAUUGACUUGAUAUCGUAUGCAAUAUGAGAGACCACUGGGCUCCUCCCUGAAAGCAAUUAUUCUUCCCUAUCUGACUUAGAAUGGCCCUGUGCCUUUUAUAAUAAAAUCAGCUUCUAAAUAUGUGAUCUUAUUACAUGUUGGAUAGGCUAGGUUGCUGAAUUUGUGAUUUAACCAAUUAUGGAGCAAAGCCAAUCCUUUAAAGGAUUAAGAGAAGUUACUAUCAACUCAGUUGAUCGUUGAAUAUUCGCAACUGCAACCUGCAUUCUCUCAUUCUAGAUUGGUGCAUAAUUUCUAUUGCGAAGUUUUGCAAACCUCCAACUAGUUUUGUCUGUGUGCCCAUUAUGGGAUUUGAAUCAACUUAUCUUUUAGAUUUGCCAUAUCAAACUUUUAACAAAAUGUUUUUGCUGUUUUGGCAUUAUGUUGAACCCUUGAUGUCAAAGCAACAUGUUUGCCAGCUUCUUGUAGUACCUGUAGGUGAAGCAGUUAGAGAGUCUCAUAUGUAUUCCUGUGAACUUAUUAUCCAAUAAAGCUACAAUGCUCGGAUACCAGAACUAAUUUCAUUAUUAUGAGCACAUUCUUAAAUUGCUGUCUCUCUUUAGGUGAUGUGAAGAUUUUGGAGAAGCACAAGUACUAACGUCCAAAGCUGGAGAUCAUAGCUGUACUCUUGUUUAGUUCAGAGAGACUGUUUUGAAAUGAUAGAUUGAAAGUUCUUCUGUGCUUUUCUUUUUAAUGGGCCGUUGUAUUUUGAUGUUUAUUAGUAGGACGUUAUUAACUUCAUAAAAGUAAGUUACCAGGGCACAUAUUUUGCUCCAGAAUCCUUCCGAUCUAGUGCAUAAAAUGGAAAUCCUAAAUUAGUUAAUUGUUUCAAUACUUUGGACUUUGAAUUGAUUUAGUAUGCCUCAUGAAGCCAAUAAUUGCACAUCCUCCACUCUUAGAGUCUCAGUGUGAUAUUGCCCACUGUACUGCCUGAGCAUUGCAUUCUUCCCACUGGUUGGCUCAUUGGACUCCAUUUUACUGUUUAACUACUGCUGUUAUGUCAAUUACUAGCUGGCAAAUACUGUUAUUUCUACAAUUGUUUUGAAUAAUAACAAAUUUAUUACUCCUCCAACUUGGAACUGCCAUUGUUUUUUGAAGACUGACCUUCAUUCUUCAUUGAUUUUUUCCACAGCCGAGUAUGUGCUGCCUUUGAUGUUGCUCUCAAGUUUCACAGGAACAUACAUGAGAGGGACAUAGAAGUUGGUAGAAAUGCUGGAUUCUACGUUGGCUUGACUGAAUGAAACCAUCUGCCCAGAUACGUGGUCCCCCUGAGAAACCUUCACAUGGCCCCAGCAUGAGCAUGGCCAACCAUGGAAUGAAGUCCUCGAAUCCAAAAACUCCUGGAGUCCAAACAUCUAGAAACAAGGAAUCUGAUAGACAUCUGUUUAGCUCAUCAAAAAAUAUAUGGCCUAAACCACCCUUUUCUACCAUUGCCAUGAUGAUGUGGCAUCCAAGGCCUGUGGGAACGACAACCCAUUAUAGGCAUCUUGAGACAAAUGGAUCUGAUCUGUUGAGUUUGAACUACAAUAGAAAUGGGUUUGAUGGAGUCCUGCGAAAGGACAUUAUGCAGUGGUUGCUGCAAAAGUGAAGGUAGAAGCUUUUCAGACACCUGUUAGUUUCUGAAGUUUUAAUUGCCAAUAAUUCAGUUAAAAUAUCUCACUCAAACCGCUCGCAUUAUUGGACUCCUAAAUUUGAAAUUCAUCCAUGCGGGUUAUGGUCCUGUUGCUUGAUCAUCAAGCCUUGAUCACUAAUUACUGAAGGGCUGCGUGCUGCGAAAGCUGGCAAAGCUAGGUUUUAGUUGUUUUGCUUCUUUUCUGAAAGAUAGUAAUUGUUCUCUCCGUUUUCAGUGACUCUAGGUUUUGUGUUUCCGAACCAGUAACUGCAUAGUUGCAUCUGGUAAUGUUUGUUUGUUUCUUUGUUUGUGAAGCACAUUCCUCCAGAUUGGAAACGGCUGUGGUGAUGGCGAUCAUCUUUCUCUGUACUUGGCUUUUGGAGAUUCCACAGUCAAGGUGAUUAAAGUAUAUAUAUAUGCAGAGCAUCCAUUGCGAAUCAUAGAUCAAGUGGGGGCAAAACAUAAAUCUUUUCGAGGUAAAAUAUCUGUGUUUACAUGCAAUUAGUAUUUGGGGCAAAUCCAAUGACUAUAACGAGAAUGUUCCUUUUACUCUAGUAGAGAAUAAAGACUAGUUCAAUACACCAAGCGAUAACUGGGGCUGGCCAAGAUUCGUUUCAUUGAGUGAGUUAGAUGAGCCAGAGACUGGAUUUCUAGUGAAUGGCGUUUGCGUGGUGGAAGCUGAGGUCACUGUGCUUGGAAUUUCCAAGCCAUUAUAACAAGUAAUUAAUUGUCCUCCAAAUGGGUUCUUUUAUUGUGUGAUGCCGACUGCCUGGCUAAUCUAGGAAAUUUAUUUUAGCUAUCAGGAAAUUUAUUUCUCUUGUGGUUUUCCAAAAUAACUCUUACGUUGCUUAUUGUUUAUUUUCCAAAAUAACUCUUACGUUGCUUAUUGUUUAUGCUGUCAAGCUAACUUUUUAGUGUUAUUUUGGUGUUCUAUUUCUCUGCAUCUCUUUAAGGAGAAAUUCAUUAUAUCCCCUAUGCUG
rnacentral:lncRNA from 1 species